UGAGAGCGACAUAACUAAGAGUAUUAAACCUGAGGAAAUGGUUGAGAACUAUGACACAAAGGCCCCACGGAGGAUGCUUUUCUCUGGAGGUAAGAACAUUGAUUGAUUAAUUUAUUAUGGGCUACAACAGAAAAAAAAAAUAAUAAUAAUAAUAAUAGGAAUCAUUCUGCUGCACCACAGUUUGAUGAACAUAAUCAAUAUUAGGGGAGAGUGGGGUAAGUUGAGCCAAAGGGUAAGUUGAGCCACCCCCUGUUGCUUGGAAAUGGUAAAAGAAAUUGAUCUUGUGACCAAAUAUUUAGGAGAUGGGCGUCAAUUCAUGGAGUCGGUGAAGGUUAGAAGCACAUGGGUGAAGGGGUUAGACAUUAAUUAAAAAAAAAAAAAAAACAACAUUUUUUGCUCUUAAAAGUGAAUUUAGUCUCUCAAAAGUUAGAUUAGAAUUGUGUUCAGACCAAAAAAGAUAAUUUUAAAUUUGUUUUAUACAUCAGUUGUGGUAUCUACGAGCCACAACAUGAGGUCAAAAACCUAACAUAACAUCCACCAUUCUAGUUUAGAGGACUAAUAAAGUCAUAAUAGUAGUUCUGGAGUAAGUUAAGAAAGUGGCUGAACUGAGAAAGUAAAGAAGUCUGAUGAGAGGAUCAGAGUUUUAGUUUAGAUUGUUAAAAUGUGUUACUUUUUCUUUUCAGAAAUACAGCUGUGAAUGUUGUGAAUCAGGUUUUUUACAGAACAGCUUUUUAGCAGGUAUAAGCAAUAAUAAUAAAAUGAGUUAUGGUAUCAGUUGAAUAGUGUAUAAAAAUACACAUGAAUGUGAAGAAGUGACUGUUAUUUAGGGAGAGAGAAGGUGAGGGAGGGCUGGGGUGGAGAGUGGGGUGUAGUAGGAAUACGGCUCAACUUACCCCGCUCCUAUGGUCAACUUACCCCAUUGUAAGUUGACCAUAUGAGACCACUUCUUUUUGGCAUGCUAUAUUAUCAAGACAGUUAUGUUUACACUUAUUCUGUUGGUUUGCAGGGAUGCACAACGUCUUGAAAUAUAGGCAGAUACACUAGUUAGAGACAAAACUAUGAUUGCCUUGAUAUAGUGAUCUGAAAUAUGAAAAAUGGCUCAUCUUACCUCCUAUGUGUAUCUAUCUAUGGUUAAAAACGUCCUUUUUUUCCUUCUUUAUGUCCCAUAGCUUCUCCAUUUCUCCUGCCCUAGCGCCGCCUAUGAGUGCAACACAACAUAAUAGUGAUUUAUGAAUUUAAGGAAAGGGCAUAUGAUGUACCAAGAAAAGUAUAUUAGAGGCUUCAGUUAUUAGACCAAAGCUAAUAGUAAUAUUAGCCACUACAGUGAGUCAACUACUGGCUAUAAGAAUAAAUAAAUGAUACCUUUACAUUUAUUUGGCACCUUGAAGUGAUCCCACAUAAGCAGAAACAAUGAGUAAGUCUACCACAUAAAGAGAGAUGCACAUCAUUCCCAGUGCACAGAGCUUUAACUUCAUUAACUUGACAUGCCCACAUAAUUGGUCAUACUCCAAUGUGAUGAUUGAAAUGUGUCUACACAGGCGAGAAGUCGGAACGAACUGUGACUCAAGUAAUUGGGACUCGACACCAAAGACUCAAGAUUGAACUCGGACUCAAGGUAUGUCACUCCACUUGAAAGAUUUUUUGACCCACUGUAAAUUACUUUUACCUCUCUUGACUUUGCUUAUCUGGUACUUUCAUGAGGAAAUGUGACUUUCUGCUGGAAGAUCCUCUGUUGCUUUAUUUUAAUAGUCAAAUGUGUCGCCCUCUGUGAGGCUGUUUUAGCUUGGCAUGAGUGCUCUAACAUUUUUGACACUUUCGUUAAUGAAAUUAACUUAUAUGGAUUUCUGGUCUUGUUACCCAUGAUCCAGUUCACUUUUGUAGGUCAUAUAGAGGCAUUAGACUGUUUCAGAAGAAGUUGAUAACAUAGAGCCAUUAUCAAGAAGGUUGGACUGAACGUGUCAAUGCAAUAAGAAAUACUGAAACUCAAGCAAAGUAUUAUGUUAGUAAAGCAACGGACACCUGCAUAAAAAAAAAAGAAAUCUUAAAUGAAUGAAUAUAAGUACAUGAAAUCAGUUAUUCUGAUUUAAAAAACCUAAUAUUUGAUCUGAAUGCAACUCAUCAAAUUCAUCUCCAGUCUCAAGCUGAGACACAUUCAUGCCAAGUGGAAAGGGUUUAAUGUUCAUCGAGUGGGCUGAUGAAUAAAUGAUUUUCCUUUUCAAAGCGCAAAAAAAACAUCCUUCUAUAAUCUCAGCGGCUGCUUCUUCCUCUUCUCUGAGGUGCAUCCCCUCAAUCUAUGCAGUUACAAUGCAUAUUAAUCAAUAGCAGGGUAUUGCUGCAGAAUAGGGGAAUCACAAUGGGCUGCUGAUCAUUUUAUCUCAGUAUUCAGAGUCUGUGCCAAAUCAAUAGCACUUUGUGUGUGUGUGUGUGUGUGUGUGUGUGUGUGUGUGUGUGUGUGUGUGUGUGUGUGUGUGCCUUAACCUGUUAAAUGCUAGGUUUGCGGUGUGUGUACUGGCAGCUCUGUGUUGCUCUGGAAUGCAAAUCAUUUUUUUCCUGCAGUGUGAAUUCAAGAGUCACACACAUUGUAUAGCUGCUUGCAUGUGCGUGUUGGAAUAUAAAUGGCAGCUUCUCAAGGGCAAGAAGAUUAAUUAGCUGAUUAUCCAAUUAAACCUGUGGGAAACAAACCUCAUGUUUUCCUCUUUUGUUUUUAACCAAGCAGUGAUUUGUAAAAUAAACAUAUUUUUUUAUCAUUUCCAGGUAGCACAUGAUCACCAUUUUCUAUUCUUGAUGAAUCAGUGACCAUUUGGAAAAAUCUUCACCCAUAUACUCCGUCUGAUUCACUAAGUGUCUUGAAUGUGUGUUUGAGGUCUCAUUUAAAUCACAACCAGGCAUGGUCAUCAAUCCAAACCAACGUCUGAGAAAUAUUAUUUUCUCCUCUCCCAUGGUUCCACAGUUUCAAGAGUCAUAUUUAUCAUACUUUUACAUACACUUACUUUGUUGUCAUAGAAAAUGCCCUGCUCCUGCUUCUUUAUCCGUGUUGUUCCCCUCUCUCCAUCUUUCCUCCUAUCUGAUUUUCCAUUGUGAUUUCUUUUACUUCCAGUCACCAUCUUUCCUCCAAUUAUACAUCCAAAGCAUCUUUCUGUCCUUACAUCAACCCCCUCACCUUUUACAAAUCCUUCUUAUCUUGUAUCUACGUCUUACCUUCAUGCUUCCCUUAAUUUCCAAAUUCUUUCUACGCCAGCCUUCCUCAGACACUUAAUUUCAUUCCUCCUAUCCUCUCUCUCUGUUCUUAACUAAUCCAUUUAGUUCCCCCUCCCUUCUCUUAUUCUGUCCCACUCUCCUCCCUUCCCUCCUCCCUUCCCUCCCUCUUCAAAUGCAUUUCUUAGAUUGAACUGACAACAGAGUCAUCAAUCAGUCCCAUGGUGCACCAGAACCAGGCAGCCUUGCACAGCAUAACCUAACUUUAUUAACACCAUAAUGCUUUGACAGCCAUAAAAACAAGAGCUUAUAGAGAUGCAUCGCCAUGGUAACCAAUAAGGCUUAUUACUGAGUUUGAGCUAACAAUAAUUUUAGACAAACCCUAACAAGUCUGCAAGCCUAUUAUUCUUAUUUAUUCAUAUUUUUGUCAUGUUAAUAAAACCAACAACCACCAGUGAGAAACAUUUGUUGUUAAAAGCUAGUUUAAACCACAAAAUCCACCAAUAAACAGACCCAAAAAGGCCCUAAAACCAACAGUAAAACUAAAAUGACGCUUUGACUAUCGUAGCUGUGCUCUUGAUUUUAAGUAUCAGACAGUGAGAUGAAAAGAGGAUAUGAAAAAGAGCAGUGAAAAUAAAAAAAAGACAAAUGGAAGGAAAUAAGCAGAGAGAUCAUGAUCUGUACACUGACUGAUUCCCGCAACCCUUUUCCUCGAGGUGGAGCAUUUUUAAGAGCUUACGAGCUAAUAACAGGAAAUGAAAGGGUAGAAGAUAUUGCAUGAAAUUGUCUUUCAUCUUUCAAGGAGCUCGAUCUCACAUAAAGGGAGACUCUCUAAAUUCAUUAUGGUACAAAUAAAAAAAAAAAAAAAAAAGGCAAGUGCAGAUUUUGCUCUCAGACGACAUGUCACAGAGGGUCUUUGCGGUUGAUAACAGAUCACGGUGUGGUUCAUGCUGGAGGCAAAGUGACUCAGAAUAUUACUUCUGGGAUGGGAAAUAUAAAACACUCAGAAAGCAUAAGACUUACUUUAAAAAUUUGCCGCAUCUGAACUGUUUAGGCCUUUUUGAUGGGAAAUGAAGUCUCUGAGCAUGUCCGACAAGAAAACUCUGACACAAUUCAAUCUUGAUUUUAGCUCAACGGAAUAAUGUACUUCACUCAUGAUACAAUCUGAUUAAUGAUGAUGGAGUAUGAGGGCCACAUAAAGAAAAACAAUUAAAACUUCAAGAUUUGAGUCAUUAGUAACGAAAAUAAAGUCAUUACUCAUGAGAAUAAAGUCGUAAUAAAGUAAUUACUCACAAGAGUAAACUUCCAACAAAUGUCAUCUUGAACAACAGGUAAGAAUAUAAGGACUUUAUUCUUCUAAGUAAUUACAUUGCUACGACUUAAUUCUCAUAAGUAAUGAUUUUAUUACAACUUUAUUCUCGUAAAUAAUUAUUUUAAUACAAUUUUAUUCUCGUUAGUAAUGGCUUUAUUCUGGUUAGUUAAUGACUUUACACUCGGAAUCUUUUUUUUUUUUUUUUCUCCUUAAUAUGGCCCUUAUAAUAUAGAUUAACAAUGCUGAGUUUAUAAUAUAAUGAAUCUUUUUUUUUUCUUGUUGUUUUUUCAUUCUAAGCUGUGGUUAUGUUGAAGGAAUAAAUAAAAGAACAGUAAGAAGUAAAAACUGUUCAGUUCAAUGUUUGAUUUGACUCUAAAGAAGCAGACACUCUUUUACUGUCAUACAGUCUUAUGGUUUGGUUGCACCGUGUAGGUAUAAGGUUUAUCCCAUUAAAGGACAACAUCCAAACAAACCAAGAUAUGGGUCCAAAAAAGAGUUUUCACUGCAUUUGGACAUUCAGUGAAAAGCGUGUGACUGUUAAACUCUUCGCUCCAUUCUGUUUAUUUGCUGCUGGGGUAAAAGACAUAAUGAUGCCAAACAAGACAAGUCAAAGGCAGAAAGUGUCAACUUUUAACUGGGUUCAAAGGUACCGUUACAUCCCUGCUUAAGGCGUUCCUAAAUGAGUGUUUGUCUUUGUGGGUGCUGACAGGUUCAGCCUGUUAAACACUGAGAAUACUGGCUUUAAGUGAGCACAUCUACACAUGCAAAAUUGACAGAUGGUGGGAUAUGGAUGGAUAUGACACACAUGCAAGGGGGGCUAAUGGCUAGAGGGAUGGACGGAUGGAUGAGUAGACAGAGAGUCAGACUGCCUAAGAUUGUAUUUCAUAGCUGAAAUCCGUAUCAAAGUGCAAUCAGUAUGAGUGCAGGGGCAGAUUGUUGCUGCUGCUAUAUGUGAAGUGCUGAGGGCGAUCUGAUGUAUCUGUCAGCCAGCAUCACACAGGCCCGCUCUGCUCUCAUCUGCUUAUGCUCAAUCAAUACCACUGCCUCAAUAUCGCUCGCUUCUGAUGGCCUUGACAUUCUCCCUCUGCUUCUCCUACCAGCUGCUUCUUUACAGCAAAGCUCCUGAGGAGAGGACAUUCAAAACACAGGUGGCUCAUACGGAUCAAUGACAGUGUUUUCAUUCCUCUUUAAGGGUGAACACGAUAUCUGUAGAUUUAAGGUGGGAGUGGAUUUAGGAUCCACAUUCAACAGCUUUUGAGAUCAUCAAUCUCAACUCCUUUUUAUCUUCAGAUUUUUUUGGUAGUAUUUUCAUACACGUCAGGGAUUUUUCAAAAGCCAUUUUCUUGACAGCUAUUGUUCUUCUUGAUUUAUUCAAUAGACCCAAUUUUCUUGUAGAGGCUAUAAAUUUAAACUCCUUAUUAAGUAGUCUAUUAUUUAACAAUUAUGCAAUGUUAAGGAGGGUUAUGGAGGCUUAAGCAGCUAAUGCUUACAACCUUAUGAAGUCCUUUUGAGGUGUAAUUACUUUAAGUCGAUCUAAGAGCACUGGUGCCUCUUAACCUCAACUGUAGAGUAUUUUUGAAUAAUGGAUUUCAAAUAAAAGGUAACAAUCCACAUUGACCUACAUUAAACUUCCUGUAUUGACAAAUCGGGUGUAUAAUAUAAGACUCAAUGCGAAUACUUUGUCUUGACUAAAAAGGAGGCUAACAGUUUAAAAUGCAAGCAAAGUAAGCCAACGAUGCUUUCCUAGCUUUAUCUCAGACAUGCGCCAUCAUGACUACAGGUGAAGCCAGCACCAUCACCUACUGCUCACAACCUGAUGCAACCUGAAAUCAGCCCCCAUUUGAUAUGUUGAAAGCAGCUGCUUUUAAAGGUGUGAGCAAACCUUAUGAAGUGUCAGUCUGAUAGCAAGACUCGUCAGUUUGAGACAACACGUGAUUAACGGACGUAGGCGGUGAGACUGAGUGCGAAUCGGUUGUGGGCUUUGCGCUCAUACUCAACAGCUGUCAUUGGUAUAUUGACUGAGCUCGACUGUUGUCUGUAUCGCAAAUGUCGACACAGUAUGGGGGAUGGUAUUUACCUGUUUCCUUCAGAAGAACCCCAACACAGUUUCAUUUACUCUACACACAGGAAUUGGCAUGAACUGAGCUUUAAACUUCCGUUCCAUUUGGUGUAAUUGUAUGUCUUAGUUUUCACAGUACUUAAUAUUCAUGAUUUAAAAGGAAAUAGAAGUGGUGGCUUUUUUUCCAACAUGACAAUACACAACAAAUACUGCUUGUGAGUAACCCCUUAAUUUCCACCACAACCAGAAUGGCUAUGAAAAGGCCAUAUCCGCUGAUCGUAACCAUUCAAGUUAAUGUGUCGAUUUCCACCAGCUUCUUUCCGUUAUGCUGCGGAUUGCUGGACGAUUGCAAGAGUUCUGUUUUUUUGGAAGCAUGCCAUAUAAAUUCAGCACAGAUUAGCCAGUGCUGGAAAGGAAGUCGGGCACAUACAAAAAAUAAAAGAUCUGGCUUCUUUUCAAAAUAAAAUACUAUGUGUUUCAGGCGGAUUUUAAACCAUACAAAUGUGGGCGGGAAUGAACAAACAAAAGGUUUUCAGACUGCAUUUCACCCCGUUGAUUGCACAUGAAUCUGCAGGUUCUUGUGAGUUCCGCUGUCCGUAAUCCGCCACGAAAUUCAUCUCACAAACGGACCCAGUGGGAAUUGGUAGACGGCGAAAAAUCACUGCCGCUCUGAAUCGGAGCUGUUCCAGAUGCAGUGGAAUUUAGGGGUGAGCCUAGUUCCAUGCGUGGCACUUUUCCUAAAUAGUCCAGAAACAAGACUUAAUUAAAGAGAGGUUUUCAUGCAGCUUGCUUAAAAUCUGUCUUUGUGUGAUUGCUUGUGUGUGUGUGGUUGUGUGUGAGAGAGACAGAGAGAGAGAGAGAGCCUAUGGUAUAAAACACUAAGGACUGUGAAAUGGGAACACUCUCUGUUAGCUGUAGGCUGUUGGUUUAGACAGUCUGCCAUUCCUUUCUGUCACUGUGAGCACUCAGUAGAUGGAUCCCCCCCCCCCAAACACACUUUCACAAGCACAGUCUGUUAAAUUCAAGAACACAGACUGAAAAAUAAACGCACAAAAGCAACAAACAAACGCAGCGCAAAAUCACAUUUCUUCUUCAUGUAAAAGCAACUUUCUUAAACUGUAGAUGCACACUUUUCUCACACAAACAAACACACAAACAAACUGUUUCUUUGUGCAGUGAUGCAUUCACUAUUCUAACAGAUUUACAAGGUUGUGCUGUAGAUCUGGUGUAAAAAGAGGAGACUUACAAGGACAACUUCUGCUCUUCCUCUCUCCCUAUCGUUCUCUCUCUAUCACUCUCUCUCUUUCACUCUCUAUCACUCGGUCUAAAAUACACAAACAUACAGUGUAAGCCAAAAGGACAACAGUUGUCACUGUUUAAACAAGAGAAAAAGAGAGAGAGACAGCUCCAUCACAGAGAUUGAAGAGUAGGAUAACAGGAAAAAAGAGGCUUUCAAGAACUUACAAAAGUGUGUGAUAGUGCUAAAGGGAAAGGUCAUGCACGCUGACAUUCACAGAAACCUUUAAGUCAUCCCGCCACCUACAUGGGUCAUCCUGUUCUCGGUUUCAGGGGGACUGGAGACGAUCCAAGCUGUCAUAUGUUCCACAAAUAAAUGCUAAUAUGGGACACUGCACUGACUCUGCAAGAAAAUUUUAAUACAAAAACAAACUCGUGUGAUCCACCAUUAAGCACCAUUACUGCCUGAAUAAGGCAAGAUAAAGACGGCUUUGUGCUCAGAGGAAACCUAGUCCACAGUGCAGACCAAUUCACCAAUCCAGUCUUCUGCUGCCACAGCUGACGUCAAUCAAAAAACACUGGUAUUUUAAAGUUGUUGGAAAAACAGACACAAUAGUUCAUCGGUGAUGCUGAUGUUUGCUGAAACUCUGCCAUGGUGCAAAGAGGGCUGCUUUCUACUACCACUUCUAUUUAUAGAGACUCCAGAGUGAAGAGUUGUUCUCAUUUGUCUCUGUCUGGAUUUCUCUGUCCAAUGAUGUCUUUAAGUUUUUUUUUUUCCUUUGCAGGACCCGUGAGACUAAUUAGUGGAUGAUGAAAAUAAAGGGGGAAUAGAGGGAGGCCAGAUGAGAGAGCAGUACAGUAUAAAGAGUGACAAAAAGAGAGUAGAGCUGAGGAGAAAUGGAGAUUCGAAAGUUGGUGUUUGAUUGGCAGGCAGCAGGACCUACUGAAUUUGUUUCCCAACUUGAUAAGUGUCAAAACUCCGAUUGCAAUAAAGCAUAUCAAACUUUACAGCUAGCUUGAGCAGGAAGUGUUUUCAAGAGCUUGGUUGUUUGAAACUGCCCAAAACUGUUAGUGGAAAAAUGCUUUCUUUGCAAUUCCCAACAACAGGCCAAAGUGCACCAUGGGAAGUCCAUACAAAUACAGGCUUUCAAAGAAAAAAAAAAAAAGACUUCUGCAAAUUACCAAAUGGAAGGAGCAGUUUAGAUGUAGAAAAAGCUCAUAAUAUAGAUGGAAAAGAAUAGAUAAUAUAUAUAUAUUUUUUUAUUUGUCAAUUUUCAAAAGGAGCUGAAGAACUUUUGGUCCACACGGCUUUCAAAGUGAUAUCAUGACACCCUCACAGCCCCACGCUCUGAGUUUGUACUUUGUUGUGCAGUAUCUUCUGUCACCUGCCUGUAAAUUGUAAUGCUAGCAGGAAACAAAGUAAGACUGAUGGCUGGGCUUGGUGACUACACUACCUGAACGGGCUGAGGCAAUGAAUUCUAGUUAAGGAGGCCUGACAUUCAUCAUGCUUCUCUCUUGUUCAUUUGUAGCUGGGAAAGACUCAGCAGUUUUCCCACACACCCGAGGCCCAUUCAUCCUGACACACCGUGACAUUUCUGGAGUCAGACGCUCAUAAUUGUAAUUACUAUGAGUGCUUUUUUUUCCCUGUUUCUGUAACAAACAGGGUGUGUUAGGGCCAGUACGAAAGGAGGAAUGGUGUGGUAUCUGGGUGUAUUGAUUAUAUGUAAUAUAUGAAUGAAUUAAAAAAUAUAUCUUAAGGUUGUUUUGCUUUUACAAGUAUUUAUUUGCAGCAAUUGUUCAACCAGUGUUUGAGAAAACAUAAUAAAUCUUGCGUAACGUAGCCGGUGUUUGUUCCCAGCAGUAUUUCAGCACCAUGGACAGCUCGACCAGACAACAAAGAGCUCUCCACAGUGCUUAACACCAUCUGCUGUGCACUUUAAACUUGUAACUACGCUAUUAUUGCUUUGAUUAAGUCUUCUCUCUGAUCUUUCUCCUAACCCAUGGCCAAAUAAUUUCUUUUGUCUCUACUUGACGCUCUGAAUCCUUUUUGCAUUCUACCAAAGUUGGAGGAGUAUACUUUAUCAAAGUAAUCCUGCAUGUUUGUGGAAAAAAGGCCUCAGGAAACAUAAAAGUACUGAUCUGAGCUCCUAAAGUAAAAGUAAAACAAACAGUAUUGAGUUAGAAGUGUCUAUCUGAAUCUCAUUUCAUGUUGCAUUGAACUGUUAACUUAUGCUAUUUUAACCUGUUUUGCUCUAACCUGCAGAGAUAAUGUCUAAAUGAUCUGAAUCUGCUCCAGUGUCUUUGGCUUUGUUGGCUAAUUCAACUCCAGUUUUUCCCUGUAAGUUUCUGGUAUUACAUUUAACACAAGCCUUUUCCCUAAAGCAGAGUUUUCUCUCUCAUAGCCUCUAUCUAUGAGUGUGUUUUGCGUAGUUUUUACACCACAGUUUUUUUUUUUCCUCAAUAGCAUGGGAUGAAAUCUCUCACCAGUUAAGCGUGAUUAUAUUUCCUGUCAUGUUAUCUUACAAGAUCGAUACACUGUUUUCUGAGGUCAGCACUUGGUUGAUUUUUCAUUUAUUACAUGAAAUAGAGCAUUUCACUGAUGUGGUAAAGGUGCAGCGUCAAAAUCAGGAGAGUGAGACAUAAAAGUAUCUGCCAAAACUGCCAAAGAAGAGGAAAAGUUUUUUUUUUUUUUUUUUCUGAGGAGAGUAUCUUGUGCAGACGAGACGGUUAAAUCUAAAAUCACACACUGAUCUUUGGAGUCAUGUUCAACCUAAGGGGAGAUGAUUCAUAUGAGUCAGCUGUCUGUCACUGUCUGAUUUUGUUAUCAGUCAUACACAGAUAGACCUCGAACGUACACAUGCACCAUCAGACCGGUUUUCUCCUUACAUCUGCACUUAUGUUCAUAACUCACAUUCAUUUUGUCCUUCUGUCUGUCUGAUUCUCUCCUUCUCCAGCACCAUUGGAGUAUCAGUAUCAGUCAGUAUGUUUACAUGACACUCGAACACUAAAUUAUUGACUUCAUCCGAUUAAGACCGUACAACUUAAGUGCAUGUAAACACCUUAGUCCGACUAUAAUCAGAGUUUGAGAACUCUGAUUGGAGUUGGAGAACUCCGAUUAAGACACCCAGAUAAUGCGAUUGCAAUUUGAUUUUCUCUACCCUGUAACCAGUGUAGUCGGAGUAUGAUAGGACAAUGCAUGUGUGUGUGCCCCAUGCCCCUAACCCCGGAACAAAAACACCAGAGAAGAGGAGUAGCGUGCAUCUCAUCUGCAGAAAAAGUAGUGUGUACAUCGUGUACGACAAAAACAACGCUGUACGAUGCUCCAUCUUCUUGCUCGAAAAAUGCCCAGCAGCAGUUGUAGCCACUUCUGACGUCUGUCACGGACCUGCUUUUGUUGUUGACAGUUGUGUGGGGUCAACCGGAGACCCAUAUCGCCGCCUAAUUUUGGGGAGGAGGACACGUUCACGUCAUUAAUUCGAUUUUCUCAGCUGCAUGUAUAUGGGGACAAUGAGUAAGGUCAACUGAAAAAAAAAAAAACGAAUUAUGAGCUUUGUCCGAUUAAGCUGUGCAUGUAAACACACUGACUGCCCUCAUGUCUUGGUUACAGCAUGCUAGCAUGUAAUUAAAAAGCUCUUGACAGGCACAAGUACUGUAGAAUAAAUGUUGAUUUAAAAACAGGUAAAAAGAUAAAAAAGUAAAACCUUGUUGCUGAAAACAAUCACUGAGGUAGAGAGAGAAGCUGAGAGUUUAUAACAAGAAAAGAGAUGCUGUGUUUAAUUGAAGAGGUAAUGCAGGGGAGAUAAUAAAAGCUCAAAACUCUAUUAAAGCAGUGUCACAGAGAAAAUGUUGCAUACUUUAUGUGGGCCGAAACACAACACAAGUAUCCACAGAGUCACAUUUGUUCAUGAACAAACGGAUGGAAAUUUCAGUGUGACGGCAAACUAAUCACGCGGUGUCUGUUUGUUGGAGCUCUGUCAGUAAGAUGAGCAAAUUAGCACUGCUGUUCAACGAUGCCUCAAAUAGAACUAAACCUUCCUGUGGUUAGCAGCUCCCCCUCUCCUCUCUUUUUCUCCCACUCUCUCUCUCCACCCAAUCAUUUUGUUUAUCGUCUCUCUCCCCAUCGAAUUCUGCUACAUCCCUGUUCUCAUCCUCUCUCUCUCUCUCUCUCUCUCACUCACUCACUCUCCCUGCCUUUCCUUUUCCUUGGCGUGCUGCCUCCCGCUGAGUCAGUAUCUGUCAAUCAAGAAGCCACCAGUGUUCAACACCGCCAAAAACAACAACAGGCUUAGGCUCAGGUUUUUCCUCAUCCUGUAGAGAUAGAUGGAAAACGUCACAGAGACAGAGUUGGCUGGCUAGGUGAAGCGCUUUCUACAGCUCUAUAAAACUCACUGCUAAAGCUGGUGAGUGACCAGUGCUGUUUUCUAGUGUGGGCACUGCCACAAAUUACCCAGCUUGAAGAGCUGGUGUCAGUCAUGAUUUGGCACUUCAGUUUGGCACGAUUUCAUGAGUUAAACAUUUGUAUUAGAUACACUUAACAACCAAAAGUUUGCAUAGUUAGCUGUGGUCAACAAGAAUAAAAGAGGUGGGAGAAAAAAUCGAUACAGCAUAUUAUCACGAUAUUUUGUCUGGUAUCAUAUCGUCUCAUUUGCCAAGUAGCGAUUUUUCAAAUUAAUUAAUAUGAAGUCAAAUCUAUGAUAAUGUAAAAAUAAAAUCAACUAUUUGUCCAGUGAAGUUGGCAGAGGUGACAUCAGAGCAGGAGAAAGUUAGUGCAACAAAUUCACAUAAGGUUUGCAAGAUGUGCUACAUGAAAAUAAAAUACAGUGUAUAAAAGACAAACAUAAAGGAAAGCCAAACGCUAAAUUAGCUAAACAGUUCAAAGGGUAUAAAUCGCAAUAUAUUGUAUCACAAUACUCACUGUAUUGCAAAAUGUUAAAGAUCGCAAUAAUAUCGUAUCGUGGCCCAAGUAUCGUGAUAAUUGUAUUGUGGGGCCACUAGUGGUUGCCACCCCUGAAGAAUAAAGGAAUGUCUUUCAUGCCUUUAUGGAGAACAGUCGAUAUCAUGGUGUUUUAGAAAAGAAAUGGCUUCCCAGGGAAAUAACUUUAUUAAAAAAAAUAUAUUUUUUAUUUAUUCAAGACAAGUAACCUGAAAAUUUUGCUGAAAAUUCAGAUCUUUCCAUUUCAAUUAUUCCACCCAUCUCCAACCACAAAAACACGCCAACUCCUGUCUUCACUGUCACACACAGUCAACUCUCCUGUUGAAAGCCUGUUACAAAACAAUCCUAACGCAGCAGAAGUCUUCACUUCCCGAAUCCAUGAGUAAAUACAGCUACUGAUGCGGUGACAGCAGUUCAACAGGAGGCGUCACACUGUAGUUACAGCGUGGGAACAUUGUGAUAGGCAGAAAAAAGAAAAAAAAAAAUGUGUGUGUGUGUGUGUUCUGUUACAGUAGCAAGAUAAGCUGUUUGACUUUGAGAAAAAAGGAUGAGAAAAUAAAUGUUUCUCUCUCCUACUGUGCUGAUUCUUAGGGGGUAGAACAACAAUAUCGAAAGCCAUGCGUGUGUGUGCAUGUGUGUGUAUGUAUUAGUGUGUGUGUGUGUGUGUUUGUGUGUGUAUAAGAUGGUGAUCGCUAAAAGAGGAAAACAGAGGAAUCACAUGGAGAAAUGUGGAGACAGACCAUUACCAAGGGCAGGCAAGCUAUGAAAGAUGUGAUGGACGCCUGCUGCAUGAGCAUCACAUGAUGUGUGUGUGUGGGUAUGUCUGUGUGUGUGUGUGUGUGUGUGUUUUUGUGAGCGAGUGCGUGAGUAAAUCUCCUCUGGUGACAGAAUCAGCACACGGGCUUUAUGAUCCUGCCCAGUGAGCUGGCCUCCUCCAUCAUCACCCCACCCCCUUUGGCGUAAACACACAAAAUGUGUGUCUCUCAUUUUCUCUUAUAUUCGUACUUACUCUUUUAGGAGGUUCAAGUACCACUCUGUUUAAUUCUAUGUUAUAUAAUCUGUCUCAGAGCAUUCUCGGUCAUAUCAGUCUAUGCUGGCUAAAUACAUGACUAUGCAAAACAUUACUCAAAGUGAGCAGAGCAGGGAACUGGGAAGACAGAAUUGAGGAUAACUUGCGGGUCCGUAUUGAACCCCGACUGCCUGUUUUGAGGACUAGAGCUCCUGAGCUUGGGGCAUGCAAUGUAACCACUGGCUGAAGCUUCAUCAGGCCAAACUCUUCUCUUGAUUAAGACUUGGAAGAACUUGACGCUCGACAACUUGUACAAUGACAUACCCAGAGGAUCAGAUUAUCCAGCUUUUAUACAUUAUAUCUAUUUGCAGACCCACAAAAUUCUUGUUUGUAGCUUAAGUUUUAACACACUUUGAUUGUAUGCAGGCAGAUAGUUAAUGUGAGGAGCAAAAAGGUUAAAAGUUAUCUGUAAACUUUCAGCAGCCAUCUGACAAUGACACAGUUAAGUUCAUCAUAGUGUUGUGUCGUUUGCGAAGAAUUCGUUCAAAAUAACCAAAUCUUUUAAGUGAACAUACUGAACCGAAACACUUCCUCAAGUGACUUGUAUUGCUGGGCGAGCAGCCGGUGAACAAGGGCUGUGUAUCAUUUCAGGAGGUCGGAGUCACAGGCUCCUCCCACCAAGCACUGAACGAUUCAGUAACAAAUCAUUUGAACAAAUCUUUUAAGUGAACUUAUUCAAGUGAUUCAGUACAUCUAAAAGAACUGCCGUGCCCAUCACUAGUUCAUCGUCUCUUAGACCUUGGUACUGAUAUUCAGAUCCAUUCUCACUGUACUUUCCAUCAGGGCUACUGCACUGCAGUGGUGUUAAAGAUAACCAUCUAAAAUAUUAAUAUUCUGCCAAAAGCAAACAGAUGGUUGAACCAUGACUUAAGAGUAGUGGUAUUUUAUGCUGGUUGUCCCACAUCGCAAAACAGAGCACAGACGAAGAAGUAGUAGUAGACUGUCAGCGAGCCCUCUGAGAGAUUAUUAGACACUUGUAAUUCAGUUUAUUUGUAGGUUUAUGAAAUAAUAUGUUUCCUUUCCUUAGUUUGCUUGGUUGUGUUUUAUUUUCAAGUUUUUCCAUAAAUAUUGCAAGGAUGUUGUUACUGGGAUGUCGUUAAUCUUGAGAUGAAAAUCUGAUGUCAUGACAGCCCUACCCGUUAAUUGGACAUUGCCUCUAGAUGCUGUGUUACCAUGAGAAAGAUCGCAAGAUUGAUGUAUACUUCACUGUAUAACAGAGUUUAUCACUCAUCAUGGUGUGUGCUAGAACGUUAACUGGAAGAGUGCUCAAUCCAAACUCACAAACCAGCUUUCUCUCUAAUCAAAAUUAUUAACACCACCUUCCCUUCCUCUUACUUAACCCCCCGUCUCACCCCUCUACUUCAGUGGCCUGUCACCAUAACUCACUCUCCUUACAUUUCUAUCUGACUCCCAUCCUAAUUGAGUUGUGUGUUGUCAGCCCAGCAGCCCCUCUCAAAGCUCCCUUUCAUGGCUUUGACCAAAGAGUGGAUGUGGGAGUGAUGUGUGUGAUGUAUGUCCAGCAGUCGCUCAUGUCCAAGUCCCCUCUAUGGAGCACUCGUAUAUCAGCCCUCGCGCCCUGUACAAUAUAAUGGAAUGAACCGAGACGAGCUGACAAAGAGUGGAUGAAAGAGAGGAAGGAAAAAGUGUGAAGAGAUCUGAAAAUUAAUGACAAGGAGACAGCUAAUUGACUGUGUGUGACUCGGGGUACUCCCGCUCCCCUCUCUUUCAUUUCUUUAUUUUUGCGCCAGAGGGAAAGUUUAAAAGCCUGCCUCAAUUACAGUGACAAAAAAAAGACGUUAAAAUUAUCCUACCUUCACAGUCAGGUUUGCAAAACUGCAGCAGACAUCCUUCUAUCAUCGCCUGCAUCUGUCUGCACUCAUUCAGACUUGACUCUUCGGCUUGAACUCCAAGCCUUUCAACAUGCUGUUUAUUUUUCAAAUCCUUCAUUCGGACCUGUUCUCUCUCACUCUCUCUACCCUCUUUAAACCUAAUUUAAGCUUUGAGGCAUUUCAUCAAACUUAAAGCCAGAUCAAAUAAAAAUUAAUGGCCAGUCCACAUUCAAAAUCAUCCCCUAAAACAAACACAGAAGUAAUAAAUGCUUUCCAAAACUGGACUAGCUCCCUCAGAAGAGUAAUGUUCUCAGCCAAAAAAGUACCAAUCACUAAAAUGCCGCAUUAAACUGCACGUAAAACAAAAAUACCAAUAAACUCAUUUGCAGCGCUGUGUCUCUCAUCCAUAUCAGAAAAAAAAUGCUUUAAUGACAUAAAUCUUUAUUGAUACAUAAAUGAAACAUCCUUAACGUCAAUUAAAACUUAAAUGAGCAUGAAAGAGUGUGUGUUUGUAUCAAGAGUUUCUCCAUCCAGAUGUGAUUGUCUGGUGUCAUUAACUCCUCUGCUUGCUUUCCCCCUUUUGUUCUAACUCUGUAAAACCAACAGCUUAAGGAUGCAGCAUGUUUGUACACAGGUGCCCACAUACACACACUCGCUCUGUAGUGUACACUGUCUUCUUCAAGGACACCCUAUUAUCUACUGUAUUGGCUUUCAGCCAGUUUGACUUAAAGCUUUCUGUGUUCUGCUGAAUCCCACAUUCUGACUGUGUAGAAAUGGAAAUACUACAUCAGGGUAGGGGGACAUGAGUGUUACACACAUGCACAUGCACACACACACACACUCAUGUGGGGGAUAGUUUGUGGCUUUGCCAUUCAUCAGCGUGUGUGUGUGUCUGUGAGUGUGAGAAUGUGUAUGUGUGCAUCAGCAGAGAAGUGCACGCUCAGUUGCUGGUUUAAAAGCUGACGUGGGGUGAUGUCCAGAUGGACAGAAAUAAAUUAGCUCAAGCAGAGGUCAGGACACACAGAGCGUGGACUGAGGGUUGUGUCCUGUGCCAUUGCCUUUAACAUAAAACCAAAGGAAGUGAUUCAUAAGUGUUCUUAUUUGAAAAGAGCACAAGACAUAAAAGUGAGCAUCCAAUUUUGAUUCGAAGGUUUGGAUAAGGACAUAUCAGGAAAUCCUCAUUAGUCAUUACAUACAAGUUAAGCAUAUGAAUUAAAGCAGGACUUUUGCUAUUAUCCAAAGUUAGAGGAUUGAAUUAUCAAAGAAAUCUGAACUUGUUUGUUCUAACAUUUCUUGAAGCAUUGAUCAGUUUUAUUGAAUACUGGAUGUAUUCUUUGAAUGUAUUUCUUCCUCUUCUCGACAACAGAGCCAAUUCUUACCAAGUUACAACAGUCACCACAUUUAAACAAAAUCCUCAAUCUGACAUGAAAAGAGAACUAGAACAAAACAUGGUUUGAAGGAAGUUUUUAAACAUCUUUUGUGUUUGAGGGAGUAGAGUUAAAUUAAGAAUAAAUUGAUAGCUGAAUAAGCGCUGCCAAGUCAUCAUGAGGUUCAUUAUCCAAUCAGUCACUUAAUUCUUGCAGUGAUUAAUAACUAAAGCACCCAUAAUAAUAGUUAUUAGUUUCAUACCUUUGGAUUGAUCUUUAAUCUAUGAGUUUUGCUCCCAUCUAUGACUAUCAUAGUCUCUGUUUGUUAGAACAGUAGCCCAUGUUAUUAGAAAACUACAACCAACACAGCAUUACUGUAUUUUUCGGACAAUAAGGCGCACUUGAAAUCCUUGAAUUUUUCAAAGAUUGACAGUGCCCCUUAUAAUCCAGUGCGCCUUAUGUAUGAUUACUUCUUGUGCUGACUGACUGAUUUUGUGUGGUACUAUGUUCUCAAAAAUCUGUUGAAAUGUGUACGACUUUGGUAAGCAACGAAGCUGCUCUGCUCAACGGAUAUUCUGAGCAUUAGGGUACGCUGUGUCGCAACCUGAUUGGCCCCGUAACAGGACCCCUUAGCAGUCUACAAGACUGCCUGACUGUAAUGUCUAUACUAGAAGUGCAUUCAUGUAAGGGAGCCCGAGCCCGGAGUAUGCGCUAGCAACAAUAAACCAAUCAAUGUGCCCUAUGUUUGAACAUAAACCUGUUAAUUUACAGCGUGCCAUAUAAUUCAGUGCGCCUUAUCGCCCGAAAAAUACAAUAUUUAGGACUGCUAAUGACCACUACAUUUAUUACUCAUGAAUCUAGCACUUAUAAAUCUUGUAUAUAAAUGAAAUACAUUGACUGAAAACACUUUAUAAUGACUUGAAAAAUGGUCUAAAUCUAUUCUUGGCAUUUAAACUGUAAAAUUAUCCUUUAGCAUUUUCUUUGGUUUUCUAGCAUGGGUUAGCAAUUAGCACAUAUCACUGGUGCACAUAAUUGGCCAGAGUUGUUUUUGUGGUUUUAUUUCAAGACUGACGCGAAUUAAAUCCCUCUAAUGAGUCCUCCUGUAGCUUCCAUAACAGUGUCUCACAUAGAUAUUCUCCAAAUAUUAAAUAGUUCCAAAAAAAUAUGCAACCGCUUCUUAAACCAGCAAACAGAAGCCUCAUUCAAGAGUGCAGCAUUGACCUAUGCCUGCUGUUACCGUGGUGAUGUGGUUUUAUUAAUUACUCUGCUGUUUGAUUGGCUUGUUAAAGGACAAAGCUAAUUGAGGUAUUUGUAGAUGAGAAGGGUGGAAGUGAUUUAUCGUGACCCCAGAUCAAAAACACACAGAUUAGAGAUACUCGCACAAUGCCUGAGGACGCACACACACACGCACACACUAUAUUGACUUAACAUUUCACUUCCACAUUGUUGACCCUGAACACGGCCAAGGUGUCCUGUGUCAGCUGUGGGGUCACAGCAGGUGCCCCAGCUGGGUAUCUGCAACAUGACCUGACCCCACCAGGCUGAUAGUUUAGAGGUCAUAAAACCACAGCAGCCUGCCCGAGACUGAAAUUGAACCUUUCUGAUGUGCAAGCCAUCAAUGCGGUCAUUAAACUGCCGAAAUGACACCUUUCUCUGCUUAUUCUACAAGUUUCAUUACAAAAAAAGAGGCACUAUAUUUUAAACUCUGCAUCGCAUAUGUGCUGUUUAAGCCUUGUGAAAAUAACAGUUGUUAGUUAAUUGAGUAAUUAUUCAUGAUGUUUGUGUUAACACAUUAAAGCUUAUGUGAGGAACUUUUUGUGUUGGUUUUGGUGCUCACUGUGGACAGAUAUGGAAAAAAAAACAAAUAAGAUACAUAUGAAAUAGUCUUUUCAGACAGAAAACUCAUCUUGUUAUCUUAUUACAAUGAAUUAUAUCAUUCACUGUGAAUAUAUGCGACCCUCACACAGCAUUAAAAAUCACUAAAGUGAAACUAAAUAACUUGUUCCUGAUGGUCUCAUUUAGUUAUGUAAGUCAUGAAGAUGCAUCACCAUUUACAGUUUCUUCUCGACUACUUACAAAAAAACUUGUUCAAUCAGGAUGUGAUCGUGCACUUUUUUAAUGUAGGUGUUUUUCUUUUAGUCAUGCUGCUGCAGAGUCGUCCUGCUUCCCAGAGCUGCAAUAAUGGAAAGUAACAACAACACUGAGUUUAGGAGUGCAAAUCGCCACAGAUCUGGAAAUAAAAUUCAGUUGCAGAAUGCUGUGAAACUAUUACCAUACACCAUCUGGAUUUGAAGACAGUAUAUAUCUUGAUCAUUAAAUCUUUAACCCCCCAUGCUGCAGUGUCAUGAACGGACAUGUAUGCUCUUUGCCAUUUGUUCAGGGCAGCAGUGAAUUCUCAUCCAAAUCCAGCCAGGGCAGUGAAAGUGAGUCAUUCCUCUCCACUUUAGCUCAGGUUAGGAUCAAGUGGGGUCAAGAACAAAUAUAAAACAUCCAAAUACUCCUGAGGUUUUAUUUACAUACCUCUUAUUUUUUACACUGGCCCCUUUAUACUCUAUCUCUAUCUUUGGCAUUGGCAAUCAGCAGAAAUCCCCAUGCUUCUCUCUGCCUCUUCUCUUUCUCUUCCUUGCACACAUGCACUACACUACACACAGAUACACACAAUGAUACACAACGACGAACACACACACGCAUUAUGUAUCCCCACGCUGCCCACUGGGUUUCACAAAGCCUGGGAAAUGCUGAUUUCAAAGAAAAGCUGUCGAAUCUUUCUAGUUUUUGGGGCUUUUGAGUUUGUUUCUCCUGUGGCUACAGAGACUUGUUGGGAUUUGGCGAAAAUCAAAACAAAAUCCAACCUUUGACAUGGUGUUGUUCUCCUUCAGCCUCGUACUCUGGGAAUGUGAAGUGCAUGUGGAAACACUUUCUCUCUGUCAGCCACACAGGCUCAUAUAGGGUAUGUCUGAAGUUAUGUUAAAGGGAUACUCUGACAUAAAAUUAAUUUAGGGUCAAACACAGCGUAACACCAAGUUAGACACCCCCUCAAGAGGUGAAUGUUGCCAAACGCUUGCUUCUCCAGUUAGACCAACUUUAGUAACGACCACAGGAUAGUAAUACACAGCUGUCUAAGGAGCCAUAAACAAAGCUCUACCAAAAAGCCACUCUAUAGCCACAAAUAAUGCUCAGAACAGCACCUAACUUCAUCAACAGCACAUAUAGCGUCCUAACUAUAGCACUAGCCACCAAACAUCUGUUUAGCUUUGCCUAAUUUCUUUAGCAAAGAGACUAAAGACAACUCACCUACUCUCUUUCAGCAGCUGCUUACUUGUAGCGAGAACUCGUGCCAGUCCAUUACGGACUACUGUGGGGUGACGCAGCUAAAGGAAGAACAUUUAUGAUCAUUUCCUCAUGGAAAUGCAAUCAGACCGAGAAGGUAAGGCAGAAGAACUACCGCGUCUGCAGUGCAAAAUGAUGAUUAUGGUGAUUAUUACUUCAAGGAAAUGAUCAAGUAAUGAUCAUAGAUGUUCUUCCUCGAGCUGCGUCACCCUCGUAAUGGACUGGCCUGAGGUUUUGCUGCAAACAAGCGGCUGCUGGAAGAAAGUAGGUGAGUUGUGUUUAGUCUCUUUGCUAAAGAAAUCAGGCAAAGCUGAAAAGAUGUUUGGUGGCUAGUACUGUAGCUAGGACCCUAUAUGUACUGUUGAUGAAGUUAGGUGCUGUUCUGAGCAUUAUUUGUGUCUAUAGAGUGGUGUUUUGGUUGAGGUUUGUUUAUGGCUCCUCAGACCGUUGUGUAUUGCUAUUGUGCGGUCGUUACUAAAGUUGGUAUAAGUAGAGAAGCAAGCAGUCAGCAACAUUCAUCUCUCGAGGGGAUGUCGAACUCAGUGUUAGGGUGUGUUUGGCCCUAAAUUAAUUUCAUGCCGGAAUAUCCCUUUAAGUGUUUUUGUUGUGUGUUUAAACAUGUGCAUGUUUCCAUAUAGAGUAGAAUGUUAUGUCAAGGUGUUGCAGCACCUGCAUAUGUGUGUGUGUGUGUCUGACAGAGAGUGAGCGCUGUGUCUGGCAGAAGUCAUUGUCAGCUUUUUAACUAAAGUGGCCCCCAACUGAGAGACGCAGGAAGUGAAAAGACAGCUGAGGAUAAAAGAAAAGGCAGAAAGGAAAGAGAAACAAGGAAGAAGAGAGAGACGAGGGCAAAAAGAUGCUUCGACAAGCCAGAAACUAGGAGGAAUAACAAACGAAAAUACAUAAAAGACAAAGUAUAGGAGAAGGUAAGAGGCAGGUGGGAGAACAAGGGGCAAAAGAGAAAAUGAUGCAUAGAGAUGAAGAUAAAGAGGAUAAGACAGGAGAGAAGCCAUGUGGAAAGGAGACGACUAGAGGAGAGGACAGGAGAGGAGAAAACAGGAGAUGAGACAAAAACUGAGAGUACAUCAGAGCUAAAAAGCUGGAAGAGAAGAACAAAAUGGAAAAAGACAAAAGAAGAUUGAGGAUUGAGAAAGAGACUGCGAGAUGAAAGAUGAGUACCAACUCCGGCUCUGCUCCUGCGCUCGCGGGGCACAAACCAUGUGUGUGUGAGUGUUAGUGUAAGUGUGUGUCAUCUUGUGUGUAUAUGACAGCCAUGUGAUCUAAGGUCUUCAGUGUCACUGCACUGCCUGUGCUGUGAUGGCAAACCAUUCAUCAUCAGGGCGUCUGGUGCCCUUGCUGCAAAAGACACACAUGCAUACACACAUGCAUGCACACACACACACACACACACACACACACACACACACACACACACACACACACACACACACACACACACACACACACACACACACAUCCACACAAACACAAUCACUUGCAUGCUUACACAGACACACACACAAAUAUAAACCUCAUCCUGCAUUUGUUAUUUUUGUCUCCUUUCAACCCAAGAGUCCUCCAUCCCUCCAAACAGUGCUUAACUUUUUCUAACUCCUUUUUUUCAUUUCUAGCACUCAAGUGUGUUUUACUCCAUCAGGUUUAAUUUGCCAAACUUCCCCUGUGAGUCUCUCCUGCCUGCUUCCCACCCUCUAGGCAUUAAUAAUCUUUUUUCGACUUACAGCAUGCAACCAAAAAAGAAUAAUAAGCCCUCAACGUGGCACAGAUGUACAACAUUUAUACCCUUGCAAAUAAUAGUAAUCAGUGCAUUUACUUCAGAAAUGGAUUUUAUGAAUUGCGGUCAUUAUAUCAAAACUACAACAACCAUUUUUAUAAAUAAAUUUUUACUCUGGGUUUUUCAAAACACGUUCGAUGCUGCAAAAUCACCAAAUAACUUCAUCUAAGGUAAAGCUCCUGUGAGGAAUUUUUCACAUUUAUGAUACAAGUCAAAAUUCAUAUUGAUGUCUUUUUUAUGAUAUCCAAAAGCAAACAAGACCAUCAGCAACAAGACUGACGAUUUUCAUGUUAUUUUUGAUACCAGAAACUAAUGAGAGUGGGUAGGUGUCAGUGUAGCCCCCGAAGAAACAGCCUGUUUCGCAUUUUCAACAUAAAACUUUAAGAGAAAAAAAGUUAAAUUUUGCCGCCCAAAGUCAGCAGAAUUGAACUUUUUUGUCAGAGAGCACUACCUAAAAAACACAGAGGAUAAGUAAAGACCACUUUGUUUACAAGGCGAGAAAAUUGACACAAACCAAAAGUUCCUUACUGGAGCUUUAGCAACACGAGUAUCUCCUGAUUUCUUAAACAUAAUCCAAAACAUUAAACUGGAUUAAACUGAAAAGUUGGACUUGUUUUCUACCUGAAUGACCUUGAAUAGAUUUUGAGGGACUGAGACAGACAUUCAAUUAUCAUAUGAAACCUGUUGGUGUGAAUAUGAAUUAAUUAGGGAAUCUUUAUGACUGAGAAUAGGUUUAAAUGGAUGUAGAAUAUAACAAAUCGGCUUUAUAAAGCCUGUAAAAGGUACCUUGUGGAGUUAAUGAAGAUUCGUAGCACUACGCUGCCAUGAUUUCACUCAAGGUCAUUUUAAUCAUCAACUAAAUGAAAAGACGUGCACAACACAAAAUAACUCAGUAAAGUCCUGUGCUAUGGAAAAUAAAAAGUCAUUCUUUUUCUUUAUUCAUUUUUAUUUACUAUGUAUUGUAAAGCACUUUGGUUCAAUGAAAGGGUUGUUUAAAGCAGUUUAAAGAAAAAUAGGUUAUUUUGUUCAUAGCUGGCUCAUGAAGUAUUCAAAUACAAAUGACUUACAUUAGUUCACCGACCUUCAGAAAACAAACGUUAAGUUCAGUCUACAGCUAAUGGAUCACACAAAGACCACCUUGUGAAGAAAAAAAUAAGUAGACGUACUUAAAAUUGAGACCUACUUUUUAAUAAGUUCAUAAUGAAGAGUUAAAAGAUUCUAACCGCGUGUGUGACAACUCCUCAGCCUGAUCUGACCUACAUCAAAUCUCAUGUCAAAAGGAGAAUAGCUCCUGAUGAUACUGAGCUCAUUUCAAACAAAAAAGACCGAAUCAGGCUGUAACAGAGUAUAGGACGCUAAAGGGAGGUCCAUAGUGAGGCUCUGUGGGUCUGAUCAAUAAGUAAGUCGCAUUAGCACUAGACUGAAACCAUCACCAGAUUGAAAGGAAACCAGUGUGAGAGCUGGUAUCGAAGAGAGGGGCUCUGGGUCGUCAGUGCUGUAAAGAAGUUGACCUCACUGAAUGAGAAACUGAACCUGGAUGUGGAGAGAAGCUGCUCUGGGUCUGUCCUGUUAACUCUGCAGAGAAACCUAAUGAAAGAAGCAGAGGGGGAAAAGUUGGUGUCAGCCCUCAGAAGAUGUGUCCAAAUGCAGGAGGGCACAACUGCAUUCACCCUUUACAUUAAGCAGCACGGCCAGAUCCUCACAGGGAGGGGGGAUGAGAACAAUGGGAGUCUUAAGCUGCUGUGUACUGGGAUUGAAUGCAAGAGUACCUGAGUCAAUGGGAACUGAGGCAAUUACAGAGAAAAUAAUGUAAUCCAGGUCCCUCUGUCACAGGCUAAUGCAGGCAGCAGUAUGUGUGUAAAUGCAGCACACACAUUUGUAUGGCCUUAAGUACAAUGCAGACUGAAAGGGAAGGACAGUCACGGCAUACUAAUAAACGAAUAUGCUCAUGCUCAAAAAUGUGCAAUAGUCACGGUGCAUCGCUUUGACUCAGGGAAAUAUCCCUCAGAGCACAGGUAUACCUCCUGGAUCCUGGUGCUUGUGGGUAAGAUUGUGGCCAGCCCCGUGCACCCUAGGCACAGACAGUUAAGAGAUCCUCUCCUUUGACAAGAGGCCACAAGUUGCCCAUCAUUGCAUUAUGCAUAAGCCUCAAAGACACCUGAGUCAGUGGAUCUGGAUGAGGGGGAAAAACAGGGACUUAGGGAAACCAUUCACCUCCUUCAUUAGCUCUCCUCCUUCAGGGGGAGUGGGAGGAGGUAGAGCCUACUGUUGAAAUGCUUGCCUGUCACUGCUGCUGGUCACUCUUUUCUUUGCUCUGUUCUUAUGAAAAUAGAGGAGUAGGGGGAGGUAGAGAGUACAGCCUAACCUGUUCAUCAGUAGAGCAUAAAUACUGCUAUGAAGGUGGGAUAGGUUUCUUUAUGGAGUGCUUUUUCAUUAGAUUACAAUAACCUUGUUAUUGAUUGAACUUAAACACUUUCUGCUGAAAUCUUCCUUCUUUCCUCAGCUUGAACUGCUCCUGAACUUAUCAAUCUGCUGUCAAAUAUGAAACACUUCCCUCUGUUCUCUGUCAGUUUUAAAGAACUGAUUUUAAUGAACAACUUUUGCUCAUUUAGGUAUUUCCCUUAUCACUCUGUUGAGAUAUCAAGUCCCCUUAUCCAUAAAUAAGGGUUCUAGCAUAAGCAUAUGGACAGAAAAGUUUGUCCUCCUCUAUGAUGUUACAUAAAAAGCAAUGUCUUUCAAGUUUAGCCAAAAAUAACUUUACUUUAGACUCACUUCGCCAAUAUUUUCUCUGCCAAGUGCGUCAUCUGAGGCUUCUUCCAGCAGACUGGUGAUAGCCUCAGUUCAUGUGGGAAUAACUGUCAGAAUAACUUCAUAGUGGGAAAAAAAAAUGUACCACUCAUAAAUCAACAAGCUUGUGAGUUUAUUUGAGACCAUCAAGUAUGAGUGAAAUGUUUAAAGAGAAUUUUCUGGCUCAUGGUUUGCUACAUAGUCCAGAAACAUGCACUAAGUGAGUUCAUGUCCCACUUAAAACCAGAUCAUACAAAUUUAGUGACGGAUGAAAAACCCAAUGGGCAAUGCUAUCACAUUUUGGAAGUUGAACCUAUAAAUUGAAUGCAAGCAAUUUUGAAUGGAACUUUCUUUUUUGAAAGUUUCACGCAAUGUUUUUGGGUCUGAAUUGCAGCAGACAACGUGGUGCUAAAACAUGUCGAAUAAUGAUUUUUCAUUGUGUCUCAAUAAUAACAAAUGGAAAAAAAAACAAAUAAAAGCAGCAAAACAUGCAAUAAAACCAAGUGUUGCUUUUAAUAAGGAUACUAAUGAGCAAUAUGUUCCUUAUCAUAGUAUCUAAAUAGGGCUGGACGAUGAAACGAUAAGGAUAUAUAUCUAAAAUUAAUUUCCCUCAAUUUCAAUAUAAAACAUGGUCAAUAUCCUUUUCGAUAACCAAUACUCCGCCAUGUUUUGGUAGACUAUACAAAUAGCCAAUGAAAAGGGGAGUUGCUCUGGGUCCGCUUUGCACUGAACCAAUCAUGUGCUGAAUUAGAACCAAGUAGCAAACAACUGCGUAGUAGCAGGCUGCAGCUACACGCAACUAUAGCACUUUAACACGUGAAGCCGACAGCACUGUCAGUGAGAAAAAAAGAAAAUGAGUGCAGAUGAAUGCUCAACAGAUGAUGACAUUGUCGACAACACUGGCACGAAAAUGUCGUUGGUUUUGUUUUUUUGAGGUCGGACAUGAAGCAAAAUUAUGUGCACUGCAAAAUAUGUCGAGUACAUAUUCUCGUAAAGUUGGGAAAUACCUCAAAUCUUUUUUACCAACUGAAGCAGUGCCACGCAGCAGAGCAAGCACAAUGCAAACGGUUACAAACAGCCGACCAUUCAGUCCGCUUUCUCUUGCUCAACGCCUCAUGACAAAACGUCGAAGAGACACAAAGACCUCACAGAUGCAGUAGCUUAUUGUAUUGCAAGAGACAUGCUACCAACAAGCACUGUUAAAUUUAAUUUUUUAAAUUGUGAUAUAUAUUGAUAUUGACUGAUAUAUAAAAAAAAAACAUAUCAUGCUAAACUUUUCCCAUAUCGCCCAGCCCUACAUUUAAAUAAUAUUAUUUGUAUCUCAGAUUCAUUGAAGGAGUUUCUUUGGUGUGUGUCCACAGCAGCAACAUUACAAAAUGAAUCCUAACCAAGGGUGAGCUGGAAAAGACUAUCUCUUCUAUGAAAACACAAUCGCACACAUAUACACAAACAAACACACUCACAGACAUGAUUGAGUGCUGAGAGGGCUUUUGGCGCAACACCAGAGACAGGAGGAGAAGGACAGAGAGACCAAAGGGAGGGAAGAGUGAUUUGUGAUCCUUAGAAGGGACAUUUAUCACACAAGCUACAAACACCCACACAUGUACACAAAACCAACUACAAACAGAUGUUGUGUAUAUUGCACGCCCUGCAGUGGAGGAUGGUCGGUUAAGACUUUCAGAACGUAGAGAAACGAAGACUAAGAGCCCAGUUUAAGAGCUUUACUCUGAAACCAUACCAGCACUCAGGCUCGGUCCUUUUCUCAAUCAUAAAAUAUGAGAAGAAAGCAGAAACCUCUCUGAAGGACGGUUUACUUGACUCUGUAGGUAUCGCAAUGACAUGCAUGUUUGAUUGACAGCCACACCAGGAGGGUGGAGCCUCACUCUUGUAACUUUGAUUUAAUAGAAGAGGAACAGACAACAUAACUCGCCAUUCCGCAAUAACUCUGUGCGAUCUUGACAUUUGUAGUCAUAAGUUGUUUUUCUGCCCGUUUAAUAUGUGAGGCUUGGUACUGAAUACGUUAACAGCUUUCAUGAUGGUUUGCUGCUCAGACUAGAGUCGUUCUCAAAUCCUGACCAAUUUACCAAUUAGACUGAAUCAGGCAAAUAAGGAUAAAAUUCUCAUUUGGUGUAAUCCCUAAUCUCAAACAUGCACACAUUACAGGGUAUAACACUAGUGCUGCAAUGUUCACUGCAGGAUAUUAUUAAGAUCAUAAUGCGUGCCAGAGGGAGCACCUUGGGGAUCUCGAAAGAUCUCAUGUGAUCUUACUAAGAAGUCGAUGUAAACAAAACAGCUCACAACAGCCUGAUGCAGUUAUAAUCUAAAGUGAGACAAAUCAAAAAUAAAAGGUGAAAGGAGUCUGUACAAGGAAACCUUUUGGGAGAUAUUGUCAACUGGCUGUUGUUAGCUUUAAAAGUCAGAAUGUUUACUGUUUCUUGGAAAUACCAGCAGCUUCUCCAUGUUACCCACUGAGCAAUAGACAGCUAUUAGAAGUCUAGUUUAUUUUAAGACCUAAUUUCAACCGUCUAGAUUCUGUAUAUUUUUAGAUGGAAUUAAGAUGUCGCAAUUUAACCCAUUAACCCAUUAUGCAUAACUGAUCUCCAAGUACUUAACCAAACUAAUUGUGAUAGCCGUUGAGCAAUAUAAAGUUUAGUAUAGAUAUAGCCAAGAUUUAGACUUGGUCUAAACUUGGUCUAAAUUAAGACGUCUAAACUACUUUCAUUUUUAGACCUGUUGUAGCCUGAUUUCAGACCAGUCGUCUAGGCUACAUUUAGACGUCUAUUAGACCUCUUUUAGACCAAAAAAUGCUCAGUUGGUAUCUCCUCCUGUCUCAUUGACGCCCCAUUUCCUGUUAAGAAAUACCGUCAUAUCCAGUGUGUUCCACACAUAACAGGGUUUCCCCUAAAUGUAAUUGAUCGUGUCCCACCGCCAUGCCUGAAUAAAAGCCGCCACACCUUUAGAAUUAGGGUUUUUUUUAGGCGCAACCUCGGAGUCGCUAUGUAGCAACAUACAGGGCACAUGUGCUGAGUAUUAGCAUUAGGAGCUCAAACAGCUGAAUAACUUACCCCCCCACCCCCAAAAAAGCUCAACACGCACAUUUGUCGCGCCCCCCCCCUUCCCCAAAUCACACACCACCAUAGAUUGACUCUCCACCUGUGGGAAACACUGCAUAGACAAUACAUUGUUGGGCUGCCCAGGUAUAUUUUUAGCCACGCCCCAUACUCACUGUUCUGCUUUUUGAUGACCAUUCUUGAUUAAUUAUUUAGCAUAUCCUUUAUCAUCCCCAUUACAUCCAAAUACUCUGCUGCAUACAGGCGAAAGAAACAGAGAGCAUAGAGUGUGUGCAAAAAAGCCCUUUGCAACCUCUCUCACCAGGUGUCAUUCUGCAGGAAACACCAGAAAACCAUCAGUGUUUUAAAUUAUUCAUAUUCUUGACAUGUUUGAAAUAAUGUGGGUUACUCCUAUGAGUCUGCAAGCUUUUUUACAAGGUUUAAAAAUUGGAUCUAAAAACACUCAAAUUGCUCCAUAAUCUGGGCUAAACACAGCACCACCCUAAGCCCAAACUUUAUUUCUCCCUCUAGAGCAAUAGUUAGUUUUAAAUUAGUCCAAAACUCAUGUAGUCUGUGCCCAGUCAUGCCGUUUGUUGCACUUGGUGUCAUAUCAUGGUUGGAAUUACUUGUUCAGUUCCCUUAUUAUUGCAAAGCAGCAGGAUACCUCUUAUGCCAUCAUUUAUUAAUCAUGUUAAUAGAGAACAUGACGAUGUGACACAUUAAUCAUUCCUCCCUGGAUACAAAUGUAUGUAAUUAUAAGAAUGGGUAUUACGUAUGUUGGUUAAAUGUAGCAUGAACAAGGUCCAUGAUACCUUGACUGAAACGAGAGGGCUACAUCAAGGUUGGUAAUAUGCAGAGCUCAUCUACAUGCAGCCAAAAGACCAUAAUCAGCCAAGUUAUCAGCUUAAUUAGCAUGGCAGAGAUGGCUGUAAUGAAAAUUAUUUUCUCUGCUGGUCCCAGGGAUCACUGAAGUGCCAGGCUUGUUCUGACGAGUGUCUGAGCCUGUGAGGCCGAAGCAAACAUGUUGUAGUCAUUGUAAGAGCCCCUUCACCAAUGGCUGGCACAGAGCAUCUCUUUCUGAUGAUGAAGAAAAUGUGGGUUUUUGCUUCUCCUUUGCUUGGGGACAGAGCUUAAAAAUAUCUUACAUGGAUUGACCAGGGAUCCUAAAAAAAAGUCCACUUUAACAAACACUUUAUAAGAUAUAAGUGGGUCAGGGACAUGCAAAACAAACAACCAGUAGGUUAUAUCAUAACCUUGAUAGUCCAAAUGGAUAGGAGACAUCUAACUGAACAACAAAACCCUGAAGUAAAUACUUUCUUUACAAUAUCUCUUUACAAUGAAUAAAGUGCUGUACUUUGCUUUUACAUUGUAAUAAAUACAGGUGCAUCAACAGAUACCAAUGUGGGGCACUCAGACAAAGGGCUUAACUUGGAUAGAGUAGAAAAAGAAAUGACAGCUUAUCAUGGAGCUACAAAAUACUUGAUUCUGAUUGAUCAGGCCUAUUGACAGUUGACACUGUGGGGAAGAUGUUGGUUUCCCACUCCAAUCUUUUUUUUUUUUUUUUUUUUUUUUCCUUUUACGACUUAAAGUGUUCUCAGUGGUCUUUAAAUUGUGAUUAAGAAGUUUUUAGCCCAAAUCAUGUUACCUGCUAAAUGUUCAUUACAUAAACUUCACAUGUAUUUUUAAGUUCGUAUCAUUUCCAAACUUGCCGUUUAUUCCUCCAAAUGGUAAUCUUCUGGGUGUUGGCAGCUGGUUGCACCGGUCCACUGUUGCAUUAGAACUGUUUUCUGUAUAGUAUCGACCCAUUAUGGCUGCGCUCUUCCACACAGGGAGUGAGAGACGGAUAUCUACACAGCAAGGGAUGGACAUUUCUUACAGGGCAAACCAACAAGCAGAGCUUUGAGCAAGAGAAUGUAAAAUGAAGGCAGGGAGGGGAAAGGAUAAGGGCUAGAUCAGGACGGAGCAUGGCACGUAUACACACACACACACACACACACACACACACACACACACACACACACACACACACACACACACACACACACACACACACACACACACACACACAGUUGUCCAAUGUUCCAGCUCAUUUCACCACAACAUCAUCCAACAACAGAGGAGCUUCAGAUGUAUCUGGUCCCACACUGCUUUCACUGCCAUGGGAAAGAAAAUCAAAAAGGCAAUUUUCUUGCAACUCAGGCCCCAAACACACAAACUUUUCUGUGUGCACAGCAAGCCAGUAUCAAAGCCGCGACCUCUUGCAGGUCAGGAGGAACACACAUGGUCCAUCAGCAUAAUUCAGCGUUAAUGUUUAUCUCUAUGUCUUCACAUUUUGGCACAAAUAAUUUCCUGGCAGCUUUCAUUCAAAGACUUUCUGGAGUGCCUGUUAUCAGAGAGGGUGGCUCCAGUGGGGAUUUUAGAGACAACUCUGGCAGUGUUGGUGUCUUCAAAGCUACAGCUUCUUAUGUGCGGGCUAUUUUCACUGGCCUUAGAAUAAUCUUGCACGUUACAAGCAUUACUGUAAUUAGUAUAUUUUCCGGCCUUUCUGUUCAACCCCAAAGUUUCUCACCUCAUAUUGUGUGAGCAAACAACUGGUUGAAAGCUACUUUCUACCCUUUCAUUUCUACAUCUCUGUUUCUGCCUUUUGUUGUCUGCACAUGCCUCCUAUUUCCUCUUACCCAUUAUUUCAACUUUUAUUAAACCCAUCAAAGACUGUUCCAACUCAAAAAUCUUGAUGAUUUGAACAAAUCUCAGCGCUUUUGUCCCUAGACUCCCCUUGCUUUUUUUUCUUUUUUAAUUGUAUGUUUAGGCUUUUAAGGCUUUUGCACUUAGACUGGGUUGUCGCCUGACAAAUGCCCCUGCUGUGUUUUUGUGGUUUUUUUGGGACUUUGUCUUUCAUGUUUUAAAAAUGAAUUGUGUUCUUUGUGAUGCUCUGGAGAGCACAGAAAAAGUCUACAUAAUGAAGACUGAAAACGUUUUCUUUUGUAGUAUUUAACCAAACACUUCUGUUGCGUGUUAUUUUCUUCCAUUUAAAGCACAGACAGUUAAAGUUGUUGAACUUCAAAAUUAACACAUACCAUAUAUUGUCGUGCACCUUGGCAUGGUGUAGGAGUGAGAAAAAGUAGAUUACGCUGCUGGUUAAAAAGCCAAUCAGCUUGUCGGCUGCAGUAAUUUCCACGUAAUACUUCAGUCUGGUUGAGUGAAACAGCGUGGCGGAAGCACGGAGCGUGAUUUCUUUAAUUUCUCUCACGUCCCCAAAGGUAUAACACUGACACGCGGCCUGCCAGCUGCUGUCAAUCAAACACAGACACAGUCCCGCCCCUCAAAGUAGCUGUGAUGAAAAGAACCAUUACCCAAAAGACAUUUUUACUUCCUAUUGAUGAUAAAAUUCCUAAUAUGGGGGACUUAAUCUUUUUGGGUGUUUCUUCUUCAUCACGCUUCGCUAACUCGACUUUACAAAGACAUUAUUUUUCAAGUGUUUCUCUUUUUUUUUCUCCUUUCUUCCCGGAUUUGUUGAAAAGCUAACACUUGCACCCUCUAGUGCUAAUGUAGACAUUUUCACAUGAGAAAUGAGUGUCCCCGAAUGGAAACCUUAUCUUGGAUUUAUCUGACCUCUCCUUUCAGCCACCCCUCCCCUCGCUCUCUCUCUAAUAAAAAAAGAAAGCCAUAGCUUGGCACAGAGGAGAGGAGGUAUCGCUGCAGGGGUAACAGCUGGUAUUCUGAACGAGGAACCUGGCACAGGACAAAGAGAAAAAGGAGCAGAGGAAGACGAGAUUGAGAAAGAAUGGAGAAUAGGAGAUGGACAGAUGGAGGGCAAAAUGAAAUGUAGGGCUGGAGGGAGGGAGUGAGGGAGGGAGAGAAAGGGAUAAUGAUGAUGAGACUUCAGCGGGGCAGCAUGGAGCUAUUGGCGGGAAAGAAGUGAAACUGAUUGGGCUGAGAGAGUUAUGGAGGGUGAAAGGAGGGAGAGAGAAUGAAAGAUGAAUAAAAGGGAUGGCCAGCAGAUAGGGACACCCCUGCUCCUCUCUUUUGACCACUCGUUUCUCAUCAAAGAUGGAUUCUCGAGCACAAAAGAAAGGAAGAGAUGGACAAAGUUAGGAGGGAGGUGACCGUCAUCGUGUACUUUUCUUUAUUUCUUCUUUCUCAUUCUGUAAGAACCACUGAGAGCAACCAUCUCUGCUAUCCUCUCCGAUCACAAUGUUUUACUCUUUCCUUGUUCUUGCCUGCUGUAGGAGUUAAGUGCUGACGAAAGACACCUGCUAUUAAUAAUGAUUAAGCUUCCUGCCUAUGCUCCAUGAGGUUGCACAAGAUGGUAUCAUUACAUUAAUCUACAAGCUACUAAUGUGUUUUAGGCAACUUCAGAAUGACCAGCUGUUAACAUACACAACACUUGACAGGAAUUGUUGAUGGGAAUUUAUUAGGGAUGACAAUCGCUAGUGGCCCCACGAUAUGAUAUUAUCACGAUACUUGGGCCAUGAUACGGUAUUAUUGAGAUUGUUAACAUCUUGCAAUACAGUGAGUACUGCAAUACAAUAUAUUGCUAUCACGAUACUGUGCUGCAUCGAUUUUUGCUCCCACCCCUAGAAUUUAUAGCCAAUUAGAGUCAACUGACCUGAGUAAUAUUAGCAUUCAGUCUCAAUGUAGCUUUGUAUUGGUGUUAGCAAGAACUCCUGAAUACAGUACAAUACAAUUUUAUCCAAUCUGUUACGAUAUGAUAUGAUACGAUACUAACGAUGUAAUAUGAUAUGAAACAAUGAUAUGAUAAGAUACAAUACAGUAUGAUAGCAUCCAAUCUGUAAUGAUAGGAUACAAUGCGAUACGAUACGAUACGAUACGGAAUACACGAACCACAACACAAUACAUACUGCUGGACUUUCCACCAACUAACUGAACAUUAAAAACAACUUGAUUCAAAAUUUCUUCUCUAGUCCCUAAAAACAAAAUAGGCUGUCACAAUACCAGAAAUCAACCUUCUACACUUGUACAAGACACCAGAAUCAACAAUAUUAUUUCCUGCUUUGAUGUAAGGGCAACAAAAUUGUAAUUCUGCAGCACACUAUGGGGAGCUUCUUGCUUCAUUUGGAAAAAUAACAGGGUUAAAGGAAUCAAAGGUGUUUCUCAAUAUUAUGACAUGACCGAUUUGUAAAACUCCCUCGAAAACAUCACUUGUAAUCCAGCUGAAGUGUGAGACAUUGUCAGUAUACGCACAAACCUUGGCCUUGGUCAAGAUUUCCAGAUGUUCUCAUCAUAUUGCUGUUUAGGACACAUCUAUGUCAAGGUGUGGACAGUCCAAAAGGAAACAUUGAUCAGGUGCAUUUCCCUGUUUCUUAUGUGCAACUGAAUAUGACUGACUGCUGUGUGAGAGCUGCAAAUCUGAUGAAGAGCAGGGCAGAAACAGAGAUUUCCACAACUGCCCACUUUGGGCUCAACGAAGUACAUCUGUCAGAUUCUGAUCCAUUGUUCAUUGUUGGCUCGAAUCCACUUAUACUACCUUAUCCACAGAAGAUAAAAGUGUUAUUUUGAAAUGAUCAGAUGGUGAGGUAAAGUCUUGAAAAACCAGAUCCUGCUAACUUUGAGUAUUUUCUGAACUAAUUUUCAGUCUUUACUGUAAUUAUGUUCAUAUCUCGCACACUAUCUUUAGCAGUUUGUUAAUUAAAAAAGCAAGUGUGAUGAUGAGUCUGUCUUUACUUUACUAAAGCGUAACUCUUCAUGACCUCAGAACUAAUGUUUAUGAAGUUUCUAUCUUGUGUAUUUUACAUAAGCCAAGCCAGUUGUUUCAUAUUGGUUUCAAGCAACAACAACAAAGGAAAGGAAUGAGAGGCAAUGUAUUCUUAGGUAGACGCACUCGCACUCUCUCCUAUCAGAUAUAUACAUAGUUGGCAGUCAACCAGCACAUCUGUCUCUCUGUGGUAAAUGUGCCAGUCUGUACCAGCUCAGCCCAGCCCAGGGUCCUCUCUCUCUCUCUCUCUCUCUCUCUCUCUCUCUCUAUCUAUCUCUCUCUCUCUCUCUCUUUCUCUCUCUGUCUGACUCACUCCUCUCUCAUCCCUCCUCUCUUGGUCUUUUUCUUGUUUUGCACCUACAUACCUCUUGCUUUGCUGUGUUUUUUGCCCUUCUCACCCCACCUACAUUGACUGUCCUUCUUCCUUCUCCUGCUUUCUGCAUCCCCUCCCCUCUCUCGCUCUCUCUUUCCUUCUGUUCGGUCUUCUCGCCAGCAGAGCCCCAGGGUUAAAACAUGCUGGCAACUACUAGUCUGGCAGGUGUGCACAUAUAAGUGUGUGCGUUGUGGGUGAGGGGUUGCUUCAUUACACAGCUGACUUCUGCAGUAUCCGUUUGUGCAAUUCCUUAGUCGGUUCCAUAUAAAAUGUCACAUAACAUACGAGAUGCCAGUUUGCCAGCUGCUCCCUGAAAAACAGCGUGUCAGUGUGUGUGCUAUAUGUGGGUGUAAGGCUGCAGCUAAGACCUAUUUUUAUUGUUAAUUAAUGCGCCUUUUACUUUCUGUGUUGGUGUAAGUCUUUAAAUGUCAAAAAGUUGGAAAUCACCCUCCAAAAUUCCCAAGAUAAGGUCUAAGACCCCCGAACCCCAAAUUCCCAAUAUUGAAACAUUCCAGUUUUUCAACAGCUGGCUAACUUUCUGGCACUGAACAACUGUUUAUUGUCUUCUAUUCUGUUUUUUGGCCUUAUUAUAGCACUGACACAACUUGUUCCGAGUAUUUCUGCAUUCAAAACAAGGUGUUUUAAGGUGUUGUCUAUAUGUCACUUUAAAUCUUCAAAAACAAAGAUUACAUGUGGGGUUCCCCAAGGCUCCAUCCUGGGGCAUUCUCUGUUUAUAUAUAUAUAUAACAUAUAGGUGGAUACAGAUAUACCAUGACUUAUCAUUUCAAGUAAUAAUCACCAUAUUAAUCAUUUUGCACUACAGACGCGUUAGUUCUUCUGCCUUAGCUUCUCGGUCUGAUUGCAUUUCCAUAAAGAAAUGAUCAUAAAUGUUCUUCCUUGAGCUGCAUCACCCCGAGGCAGUCAGUGAUGGACUCGUCCAAGAUCUCCUUAAAAACAAGCGGCUGCAAGAGGGGAGUAGCUGAGUUGUGUUUAGUCUCUUCGCUAAAAAAAUUAGGCAAAGCUAAAAAGAUGUUUGAUGGUUAGUGCUGUGGCUGGGACCCUUUAUGUACUGUUGAUGAAGUUAGUCGCUGUUCUGAGCAUUAUUUGUGGCUAUAGAGUUGCUUUUUUGGUUGAGGUUUGUGUAUGCCUCCUUCGACAGCUGUGUACUGCUAUCGUGUGGUCGUGACUAGAAAUGGUAUAACUAGAGAAGCUAGCGGUCAGCAACAUUCAUCUCUCGAGGGGGUCUGUAACAUGGUGUUAUGGUGUGUUUGACUCUAACUUAAUUCUAUGCCAGAAUAUCCCUUUAAUAUUGCCUAAUGAUAAAAUGACUUAAAAAGCGAAAAACCAUCACAAAAGAGAAGCUAAUACCAACAGAUGUUUAGAGCAGAUAAUGACUGAAAUUAUGGCGAGAUUACCAGAAAAGCAAAUUUUUGUUAGAAUAAACUGUGUACGUUCUCAUCAAGCAUGGUAAAUGUUUGUUUACCAACUCCAUACCCAUUUGUAGGCUUGUUGUAUGCACACUGAUUCAAACUGUGCUUUACUGUUUUUUAUUUAGCACCAACGGGCCGUUUGUGUAGCACUGACUUGCACUGUGUUUCCCUAAAGUGUACAUUUGAUAUAGAACUGUUUGAUUAGCUGAGACAUUCAGGUCCUUAACGCGCAUAGCUUGGUAUUCCAGCCGUGACAAUCAUAACACACCAGACACACUCCCUCCGUCACAGUGGCAAUUAUAGCCCAGACACAAUCAAACACAAAUGAAAACACUUAAUGGAUACGAGAGUCUGAAGAACAUAAUACAGCUGUUUACGAUGCAACUGCUAGUUUGUAACCACAUCAACUGCCUGCUAAUUCCCAAUUUUUACAGCCUAAUGGUCAAAAACAGACACAUGUGCAACUGAACACAGCUUUAAAGUCUGAUAAGAAGAUCACAUCUGUGGGUGUUAACAGCUUCAUUGGUGCUGUUACUGGUGUAAAGGGACUUCGUUAAUGUCUUAAACGAAAACAACAUAAAACCAAGUCCAGACACCCUAACACAUGCAUGCACUUAAUUAGACUCAGGUAGACACACAUUUUUGGUACACACAUCCAGACACUGAGAUGCCUCUGGCAAACUCUUGCUCAUCCCUGACACAGGCGCUCACACUCACACACACAUACCUACACAUGCACACACACGCACUGAGCAACACACACACACUCACACACACACACAUACACCAUGAUUAAAGACCAGGGCCAUCUGGCGCUGUAAAGAGAGCAGGGGGGAAAGCACCCUCAUAGAUGCUGAUGCAAGCCUUGAGACAUGUCCUUAAUGUCCUCAUUUCCUUCUCUCCUUCCUUCCUCAGCCCGUCUCCUUAAUCAUAUCCUCUAUUUUUUUUCUCUCCUCUUUUUCUUUGUAUAAUCUUUCCUUUCCUAUUCUUGCGAAUCCUCCAUAUUUCCUCAUGUUCAGGACUCAUCGUGGGAGAUAACCUGUGUACCCAGCAGGUCCCUUUUUCUGGCCAGCAGCAGUUAACAGAUGCUCGGGGAGGUUUGCUGCUAUAGCUGCUCCUGCUGUUGCUAUGAGACUGAUGAAAAUGUGAGCGAGGCAAAGGAGCCUUUUACACAGAGACAGAGGAUUAAAAUAAAUCAGAUGUGAGUGUAAAAAAUAAAUAAAUACGAGAAACAAUUGAAAGAUAGAUUCAGAAAAUUCAAAAAGUUUUUUUAAUGAGGAAGCCAAAGCUAAAAACAUAUGCUGGGCGCAGCUUUGAUUAGGAGGUAAGCCCAGAAUAUCUCAUUUCAAUCAGCGUUUACUUUUUCAACUGGAGAGUUCCUCCACCAUUUAUUUUUUUUUGGUAAUUUAUUUAUUUUUUUCACUAGGUCUCUUGAACCUUUAACUAUUUUUUCAGAUUGCUACAAUAAUAUACACUUUUCUUUCAUGUAUAUUUUAAGUUUCAAAGAGAGACUUUAAGUUUGUGUUGGUUUUGGUAUCCCCUGUGAAGAAAGCGGUGCCACUUAUCUCUUCGCUGAUCCUGCAGACAGCACUUUGAGACAGGAAGUCAACAAAAUGAGCAAUCCACAAUGUUAAUUAAUCUCAGGUGUCCAUAAAUUAGAGUUUAUCUUGAUAUUUGUUUGAUUAAAUAAGACAUAGUUUUCAUUUUCAGAGACCACUAAUGAAUACCAACAGUGUUUCAAUGUAGAUAUACACUGCAGGAAGCAAUUGCAUUAUCGUUUGCAUAAAUGGGUUAAAUUGGGUGUUUCAGUAGAUAAUUUUAAGCCAUUUUCAUGAAUCAUAAUACAGUGUAAUAAUACACUGCUGCAUACAGAACCUAAUAUUUGGUAGAAACUUUUUGAUUGCUUUUGGGAGCAGUUUAGGUGCAAUGUUGAUUUCAGCUCAAAAUACCUUUUACUAAGGAUCACUUUCAUUAGAAGUAUUUACGUAUUUCAUAAGACUAAGAUUCGGGUUCGGAUUGGUGCUAAUUAGAGAGAUUGAUUAAUACAUUGGCCAAUUAAGUUGGCUGAUCAAUGACAUUUUAUCAUAAAUGAAAUCAUAGGAGCAUCAACCUUUGCAAGGCAGAUGUCAACAUUACCUUUAAAAAUUAUUUUUUCUGUCUCUAAUGACAGCCACAGGCUUGUGUUAGUUAUAAUUUCUGACUUGAUGCAUAGAUUAAUGCAGUUAAAUAAUAAUACAAAUAUUUACCAUGCAUUUUUUUCUGUCUUACAGAUUUCAGAUAGCUGGGCAGAAAUCCAAAAGUUGCUCGUUUUCCUCUCUACAAUAACUUAAUUAAAUAUUCACCCGUUUUUGAUUUCUUACAUUGUCUGCGAUGUAUACUGUAUCAGCUAUCAGCCAACUUGCUCUCUCGGCAAUUGCAAACUGACAUUGAUGGACAACAAGUGUCAACCCUUGGACCAAACACUGUAUGCAGUGCAACAUUCUGGCUUUUAUUUUGGUGAUUCCCUGGGUUUGUUUCUCCUGUGGAGUCUGUGUGUCCUCUGUUUCAUAUUGAUCGGGCGGUUCCCUCUUGCACUGGCUCUCCCUGCACACUCACACCUGCACCUAAUCACUGCAAUCACCAGCAGCUCUGAGGCUCUGCUCAGAUGCCUCUCCAGUGCCAGAUUAUUUCCAGCUUCACAUGUGGUACAUCAGCUGUUCCUGCUGGAGUUAUUUUGUGCUUCUUACUACUUAUUGAACACUGCCUAUGCCUUUCCUGUAAUUUACCUGUGUGUGGUCUGCCUUUCCAGUGCCCCCACAAGCCCCAGUACAAUCCGCUCAAUCUCAGUCACGCUGCCACACUCUCUGGAUUCACCUACUCCAGCCACAAACCCUCACACCUCCAGUCCUCACCAUCCUUGGACUCCCUCCUGAAUCCCUUCCCCUUAUCAAUAAAUUCACUAUUUAUGCUUUAUCUGCCAGUUGUUCUGCUUCUGGGUUCAAAUUAAAGCAUCGGGUAUCACACCAUAACACAGUGUGAAGAAUGACAUCCUUUAGGCACAGCAAUGUGGUAAAUUAAAGCUGUCUUGUCUCUUUUCCUCCCUCUGAUCACCCAUUUUGAAUUAGAAUACACUUUGUUACUGGCAGCCGUGAUCUUCACAUGAGGAUGUCUCUGCCAAUGGUUUUGGUGCUGGUUCAGGCCGCUGCACAAAGCUUCAAAAUCAUGAAUGGAGAGGCAAAGAGGGCAAAGUGCCCAGCCACAGUAGGAUUUACUGUAGCUUUAUUCUGCUCACAAAGAAGAGAGACACUGUUGCUUUAGCAGAAGAGGGGAAAGAGGAUGGAAGUAUUAUCCCUUCUUUAAACUGGCAAAUGUAUGUGUAUUAAUUAGCAGUAGAGAUGGAGGAAGUGUUACUUCUUCCCACUCCAUUUUUGGAUGUGUAAAAAUAAUUUAAUUUGGUGUUGGAACAGUCUUUUGAAUAUCUCGUUGUAAUUUUAGCAUUUUUGUGUCUGUUCAUCUGCUUGUUUGUGGGUUUACGCCUUUUUAUCCACAUCUUUGAAAAGACCAGUUUCAAUGUAAUUCAAGUUCAACUCAUUUGACAGAACAUGUAAUGAAAUGUUGUGAAACAAGAGUGAGUCACCCUGCACAUUAGGGUGCAAACAGCACAGACUGUGUUUGAUUCAGUUUGUUCCUGACAGACUGCUUUAAGGCUAUUGGAUGUGCAUAUAGAAUACAUGCAUAACCACAGUCAAAAUGGACACUUAAAGGAGGGGUGGGCAGGAUUCCAUUAAAGAAGCAUCUUUUCUUGUGGUGUUUAUACAAAAAAAAGCUUUUAAUAUCAGUCAAUAGCUAUUAGUGAUUAAUGACAUUUGGUGAUAUAAUGAUAUUGCUGUGUUCUCUUAUGCCUGUGUAGUCAACAUUUUCAAUUUUUUGAGCGGCCCGCUCUUUCUGACUGUAAACAAAGCUGUUCUCCACCUCCCCCAACCUGAUUGGUUGUGAGGCAGACGCUGCUCCGUUGUGUUGUGAGGCACGCUCCACAUCCUUCAAUAGCGUUCCCACACAAAGUUAGCGUGCUACAACAUCGGACAGUAGAAGUCAACCAGAAAGUAUGAAAAACACAACUAAUAAAACAAAGUUAAUACCGGAGACUCUGGCGGAAUAACGGCUGCUUAAAACGAAGGAAGACCGGACAAGAGCUAAGAACCCAGGUCAACAUCAAUGAAGCUAGCAUAAAUGAUGGGGGACACUUCGGGAUCUUACGGACCCUGCAAACAUAGUGUUUACUGGUAGUCUGUUGGCAUUUACAGUAACACCAAUGCUUUUUACUUUCACGUUGACUGGGCCCCAUUCAUAAUUAUAUGAAGUAUUUAUCUGCAUUAUAUCUUAAUUUAAUUGGAACAAUACGAGCGAGUAGGAGUGUCUGUUUGUGGGUGGGGCUUGUUGGAGCAAAGAGGGAGGGGAGAGGAGGAGCUGAGGGGAAAACUGGUUGGGAGGGGUAGUGUUUACAUUCAAGAUUUCUCCCAAAUACUGGCACUUCCUCAGAUCCUGCCUACCCCACCUUUAAUAUUUUAACGAAUGUCAAAUUAAUUUGGCAAUUUCAUUUUUUCUCAUCAAUGUUUUUAGAGAAAUUUCUGAACACAUUUGUACAGUUUUACAGCAGCCAGAUUUUCACAGAGGAAGAGUCCUCUUCCCAUAUGUCCAAGUCCAUAUGUUUAAGUUUUAAUGAAAAACAUGCUGCAGGCCAAAAACGGGGGGAAAAAAAGGACUAACUGUGUUUAUAACACUCAUGUUAGGCUCGAUUUAGGGUUUUUAUUUUUCUUCAUUUUUCUCUCAUACAGUCAGAAAUGUACCAUUUUCCACGAAAAAUAUACAUUUCUUGAGGUGGUUCUGUAUAAAUGCUGUGCUUCUCCUCACUCCACUAUUGAUUCUCUCUCUACUUAUUAUUUUCUCCCCAUGAGGUAAAAGCACUCUGGAGAUUUAAACCAACCUAUGCUUAACUAAUCUAGGAAACAGUGUAUUUUAAUAUGCCAAGGUAUAUGCUAAUCACCAGAAAUGUGCAGCUGAACACCUACUUAAAUGCAAACAUAGGACUCUCCAUCUGUCCCUGGGGCAAGAGAGGAGGAGGUAAUUUACAUGAUUAAUUACCUAUACCUAACAAGCACAGGCGCUGUUCAGGGCUUCGAGGGUUCCUCACGUAGCAUGUUGAUGUGUGUGUGUGUGUGUGUAUGUGUGUGUGUUUGAGUUCAGUUUUGCAGGUCUAUUCCAGACUUAAUAGUCUAGUCAGGUAAUGAUCUAUAAUUAAUGAUGCAGUCUAAUUUUGCAGUCCUAUCAUUCUGUAAGCUAUGGGAAAAGUUGGCUCUAAUUCAAUUCAACACUUUAAAUUAACUCCCCGAGUAAAACUUUACAUGAAAAACUCCAAGUAGGCAUAAACACUCCAAAGGAAUAUAAGGUCUUAUUUUUUCCGCAUGGCUGUUGUCUAUGUGUACGAAAAGUGAAGGACCUUCAGAAAUGGUUUUAGCUGCAAUGCCUGUCCAACAACACUGGAAACUAGAGUUCACCCCCUUUCAAUUGGCCUCUACAUAACCCGUGUGCAGCAGAUGUUUUGUAAUAGAGUGGGUGCUGUUGUCAGGUCAGAGUCGAUUUAAAGAUCAGAGAAGUCAAAGAGGAAAAGACAAUAAAAGGUUGAAAGUUGAGGAGGGGAGCUAUGAACUACAACUAUGAAAGCAGUGGAGAGGGUCUGGAGAGGCAGUGGAUGUCCUACUUUUAUAGUCAGAGAAACGUUUGCUUUAAUGUCUUGCAGACAAUGGAAGAUUUUGCAGCAAAGUGCAAAGAAAUAAUGCAGAAGUAGAAGGUCUCUCUCUCUCUAUCUCUCUUUCUCGCUCUCUCUCCCUCCCCUCCCUCUUUCAUACUGACUGCAGACAUAUGGGCUUGUUCAUUACCUGUAAUGUGGCAUAAUAACAGCUUCCACAUGAGGCAUAUGUGUGUGGGCAACUGUAUGAGUGGGCAAGUGGGCACUGUGUCCAAGUGCAUGCAGCUGUGUCUGAGUGUGAGUGUGAGUACCUUUAUGUGCAUAAAAGCUUGUGUGUGUUUUCCCAUCUGCAUGCUCUUGUGUAUGUGUUGUGAUUAGGCAACAAUCAGAGGCUAACAAGCUAGAUAUAUCCCAGAUCAACACACACAGAUACACACACUGACACAGAGAGCAAAAUGCGUACUCCAGGAGAUGAAAAAACACUUGUGCAGUGGAUUCAAUAUCACAAGUCACAAUUAUUCACUAACAUCCACAGACACACAAACACAGACUUUUGGCAUGUUUGUGUUAAGUCAAUGAAGUAUGACAGACAGUAGCACGAAGAGAGUGAAAUGUUUUACAGGAAAUCUAUUCCAGCAAAUAAACUCUUUGUGGUUUAUUUGAGAUGGUGAAGCAUAUUGAUAUUGAUCAAGUUUUUGUAGCAAUUUUGUGGACUGAAGGCAAAGAAAUUCCCAAACUGAUCCAGGCUGUUAUAGCCAGUUAUCGUUAAGACAGAUGAACAGGUAUAGAAAUGAAUUUUAGAGCCACCAACAACAUGGUUAUGAUUAAUGCCAUAGAAUGUACGCCGUCUGAACAGCGCCCUCUGGUGACCGGCUGCAGUAUAGGUCAUAAAUCCUGCCUCCGCCAGCCAUCCUUGGGCAAACUUUCGAAAUUUAUUGCACAGAAUAUAAUAUUUUCUCCCCCCUGGUAGUGAUGUUGACAUGUAGUUACUGUGGGAUUGUUUUGUGCUCAAGUCCUCUUUUUUUCUGUGAAGCUCCAUUCUAAAAAGUUUUUAGGGGGUUCAUGUUUUCUAUGAUUGACACUUGAUACAGCCUAUGGGCGUACAAAGAUUGUGUAGCUCAUCUGGGGAUACGCUGUUUGAGCAAAGCGUCAUCACAGCGACUCUCCCGGCGAAUGCGUACAAUGCUACCGCGCAAUGUUGGUUUCAGGAGGUGGAGAAAAAUCGCAGAAAUACCGAGAGCUUUUUAGCUUCAAAUCCGUUUAAAGGUGGGAGGUGGAACCAAGUUGUCCAUAGUAUGUACAGUCUAUGAUUAAUGCUAACACUGAUUUCUCCCAUCCUUUCACAACCACUGAUACUGUCAAUUCAGUAAGAAAUAGUGAAUGUGUUGUUUCAGGUUACACAAGUUGGAAACUAAAGAGUUACACUUUACUUUCUAGUCUCUCCAUAGGCAACAUCCAGUGUCAUUUACUCUACUUAUAACACUUUUCUUGGAUUAUGUAAUAAAAUGCAAAUUAGACACAGAAGAUCCCCCGCCUAGUUACACUCGAGCCAGCUUUCACUGGAACUGAGGGUGAAAAAUGAAUUGGACAUAAAAGGAUAUUAUGUCCAUUGUCCUGAAAAAGAGCCUUAUAGAAAUUGUGAAUGUUAUCAGCUCUGUUGAACGGUGUCACCACUGACUGUUCUGUACUUCACCUGUGAGGCACACUCAGGAGUAGAAGUCAUUUAGUUUAUAGGGGUCCUUGUGUGGGAAUCAGAGAGUCACCGAUUUAAGUCCCAUCGCAGAGUUGGUCUUGUACCAGUUUACUUCAUGGGCUUCAGUGCCUUGCCUAAGGGCGUAGCGGCAGUGCCCAAGUUGCUUGGCAUGCUAUCUGGCGUCCCUCCAUUAGUGCUGUUUGUAGAGUUCUUGGUGCACAUGUUUGAGUGUAACUUGCGACUAUUAUUCAUAAUAAUAAUAAUAAUUCACAAAUCCCAGUAAUUGAAGGUUAUGUUUAGGCACGAUGCUUAUACAUUGCCCACCCUCUUUCCAUGUUGCACUAUGAAUAUACACACACUGUACACUAGGUUUCAAAACUCUGUAAACCAGCAUUUCCAACAUGACAACAACCAUUGUUGGGCUUCACUUGGGGGCAUGUCACUGAGAUGAUCUUCACAUUCACUGUCUUUGGAUGAUUUGACUGCUGGACUGACAAUCACUCAAGGUCUGAAACAACAAACACACUGCAUGUCAGUCUGGCCACUUUUACAGCCCCCUGCUUCUUUUCUCUGUGAGUUAUAGUUGACUCAUACUGUAAUCAAGUCAUCUCUCAUUGUUUCGCUAUAAUAAAAAGGCAGAGGGGGAGGGAAAAUAAAUAGGCUCCUCGAGUUGCUGUUAGGGAGUGUGUGAAGAAGAUUAGAGACAUUCAUCAUAAAAAUACACAGGUUAUAACGUCAUAUUACUGUACCAAUGCUACAAGGUUAUUUAUAGUCUUUUUCUGUCGUCUUAGUCUGACAGAAAAUCCAUAAAAAUACCAUAAAUAUGUGGUAAGAGGAGCGCAAAUGUGGAACUUAAGGACAUAUAAAAGGAGAUAAUCCAAUCAUACAAUGAUCACACUACCAAUGAAGAUAUCAUCUAAAGAAAGUGUGGUCAAUCUAUACGAAUAAAUGUCAACUCCAGCACAUGUCAGGGGUUUCUCCUCUGGUAGUAACUGCACACACUCUUAAAAACGCACAAAUAGGUGCAGGCGAAAGUGCAUCGAUGAGCGGAAGUAUGUUCUUUAAGAGCAUGGCGAGUAUUCGCUGGAGGUUUCUAAAGCCUUGCCAACAGUUAAACCUUGUUUUUUCUGCCAGUGCCUGCUGUCAGCUCCACCUGUGCCAUGAAAAGACACACACAGCUGUCUCACCUCAGCGCAAAUGCAGAGGGAAAGGACGUGUUUCAAGCUGUGAAAAGUAGUUAAGUAAACAUAAGACAAAAAAAAAAGAAAAAAAAAAGGUGUGUUGGGGGGACUCGAUGGAAAUAAAAUGAGAGAAAUGACAAAGAACAACAUGAAAAUGUAUCUGGAUGGUAACUUCGAGAUGGUGUUGGAGGAAAUUCUAAUAACGGUACUUUAGGUGAGUUCUUUUGUGAUGUUGGAAAGGGAAAAGAACUUGUUUGAAACCCUUUAAAUCCACAAUGACCUGUCUUAUCUCCGUCUUUCAUGCUUUAUGUCUUUGUCUCCACCUGCCUUCGCCGAUUUCUCUUUCCCAGUAAAAAGCUCAGAUAUGCAGAUAUGUUUGAGUUACUGUGACACCGCAACAGAAAUAAUGUACGGGUCAGAACAUUUUUCAGCACUAUCUCUCCGUCCUCGCUGACUUUUGUCUCAUUCCCUGCCUCCUCGUUUUUCUUGCAACCACGGCAGCACUUAGUAUUCUGUCUUAGUCAGUGGGUAUGAAUGAAAGUGAGCUGGAACUGCUUACAAAUAAUCAACAGAGCUCGUCCUUUUCGGUGCUGAAUCUGACAAUUUGGUUGCUCGAGUUUGGAAUCCAUCAUGCCAUUGUAUCACUCCAGAGAGCUGUGGGACCUAAACGCUUUUGUGAAGCCAAAUCAAGCAGAUUUUGGCCUCCACAUUGACUAGUUGUUUGCCUUUCCCCAAGGCUGUAGAUAAAUGAUUGAAUUUAUAUUUCCACUACCUUUACCACUCAAUCUCAGCAUUUUAUCGUCUGUGAAGCUUCUCACUUCUAAUGAAAGACUGACUCACCAUUCCCAACCUUUGGUGCGUUUCUCUUUCUUCUAUAAAUCACGGACCUGAUCACUUGUCUGCCCGGCUGUCUCUCUCUUUCUACCUGCCAGUCUUAUUCUGUGGGCAGCUUUUGUUAUUUGUCGCCAAGCUACAGUUGUCUCUCAGACUUUCCUGUAUCCUUCAUCUGUUUACCUUUUGCCCUCCCCCAAUCUGUUUACCGUCUUCCUGUUUUCAACAUCCAACUGGCAGACUAGUUACCUGCCUGCCUCAGCCAUUUUGGAUUGGUUUGCCAUAUUUUACUGCCAGUGCUUGGCCAAGUAUUCGAAACUAGGGAUGGGUAAGACUGCUGAUUGCCUGAAUCUGUUUGGUUACAAUUCACAGGGUCAUGAUUUGAUUUCCAGUGAAUGAUAUUUCAAUUAAAGUACCAUUUUCUUUUCCAGUACGACAGACAUUCUCAGAAGACUAUUUUUACAAAUGUUAAUAUUACUUCUGUGCUCUUUCUAAUAAACAGUGCAGUCCUGCUCUUUGUGUUGGGCGUCGUGAGAUAAUAUUUGUUGUGAAUAGAAAAAAGAUUUAAUGAUCAAUGAAUAAUCCUGUUAAUUGUACAGGGCACCUUCUAUCAGAGAGCAUUAUUAAGAAUAUUGACGUGUACAGGUAGAAUUGACCUAAAAACAGAAGCAUGUAUGCGCCUGGCUGUAUGUGUAAGAGUGACAUGUAGCAUGGUAUACAUAUUAUAAUGAAGCUUUGGAAAACAGGAUUAUCAACACUGCUGUAAAGACGUAUAUCAGAGCAUUUGAUAGUUAGCUUUUUGCCGCUCUGAGAGCAAGAUGGUAACAGAAAUGUUCCCUCCUUUUCCUGCAGUGUCUCUCUCAGGUUGUGCACCCUUAACUGGAAGAUUUGUGGUAUUUUUACUGUAUUUUACCUUCGCGUUGUACAUCUUGUGCCUCGUUGUUUUGAAGUUUUGUGCUCUAAGGUUUGUCUGGCCUUCAGUAUAGCGUGUGUCACACCAGCCUUUUACAUGGCCAAAUCUUGGUCUAGAGAGCUGGUUUCAUGUGAGGGGCCAGCAACAGAAAAGAGAAACAUGUUAAACAUAGAUCUCAGGAUUUAUGUAUCCUUUCCUAAUCAUUAAAUUAAAACUGAUUGGAUUUGUAAGCUUAGCUUUAUAUUAAAGAUUAGAUUAUUGUGUAAUCAGGCUUGGGUACCAGUUCUAUCAAGCAAAUUAAAGAAAGACCAAAGUCUUGCCUGGUACAUGCAGAAAAGAUAUUAUUGUAAAUCAACCAAAUAAUUCCAAUAACCAAGUCAUCCUACGCAAAAAAUACAGUUUUCUUCGGUUUGGUUUGCCUGAAAUGUACUGUAUAGCAAAAAGUCACUGUAGCAAGAUGACUCAGAUGAGUUAACACAACAGAAGCUGAGAGAAGAUGUAAAUCCUUGCUUUUUAACUUUAUUUGAAUUUGAAGAUGUUUGUGAAAGUGCACAAAGUUAGUUGGAUUCUCACUAGGAGUCUACAAAAGCAGCCUUCAGCUGAAGUAUCUUGGGAAAAAACACUUUCUCAUUCAAUGCCUCCUCCUGUUUACCACAAGGUGGGUUUUUCGGAUUUGCAUUUAUGAACUCUGCACAAUUUUUCAGAGCUGUUUUGUUAUAUAAUACACAAGCACUGCUGCAGGCACCAUGACAAAAAGACCAAGUUUGUAAAGACUGCCUGAUGAUCAUUGACAAACUGAUUAAUUUGUUCUCCGUGAAGCCAUCAUAACUAUGUAAGUCAGACUGGUGUUUAAAUGUUUAACUUCCACAGGGAUUUUCUCGAUCUGUUGACACGUUAAACUUCCGUGAACCUCUAAGCAGGGCAGCUCAUGUUGGCCAACUUAACUCAACAUCCCCGGGGAACGGACUCUAUUAUUCACAAAGUCUGCUCCAGAUUCUUGUGGACUCACAAGCACACUCAGCCACCUACACACAGAUACAUUUGUUACUUAUCUUACAAGCUAUGUUCACAGUACAUGUACAGUCUUUCUUCAGUUCAGUUCGUACUUACUGUUAAUUUCAUAUAAUUAAAUUCAUUCUGAGAUUCUGAGAGGACAUGCACAGUAAGAUUAGUUUUACCGCAACCAGGAAAAAAACGCUUUUCACCUCAAGCUGCAUCAGCUAUCCCUUACAAUCGCGUUAACUCCCUCUGUUUUUGAUGUUUGUAUGAAGUUAGAUUGGUGUGAAGUCCUGAUUUUGUGGAAUGAGUCAUCAUAGAAAAUAAUCUGGGCUCAGUUUCAUGAAAAUAGUCCAUCACAGAGGCCGUGCUGUUGCUCAGAGCAUUUGUAGGAGCACUCUUAAGUCUUUUAGUUCAGCACAGUGCAGAAAAAAAAGCAAAUACUACAGAGUCCCAAAGAGUAUCUGAAGUGACUCAAGACUUAAGCCACAAUCCGUACCUAGACUUGAGAUCUUAAGCUGAGACAUUAAGAGGACAAGUUGUGCAGAGUGUGUGAAAGAUCAGCAGUGAUGUUAGCUGUUUCUUGACUGUACAGAUAAAAAGUCCUCAAGGGAAGGAAGGUAAGCGAUCAGCACUCCUGACUAUCUGCCUCCUUCCUCCUCAUGGGAUGAAAUAAAUGUCACUUCAAUCCUGUGACCCGAGGAUUCUUGUUUGACUUCCCAAACCCCAACAUUUUGAAAUCUCGUGAGCCGUGCAUGUUGAUAUAAUUUCUAAUAGGACCGCUUUAUUUUAAAACGCUGAUACUAUGGCUUGUAAAAGACAUAAUGGUUGGGGAUGCACUGAUCCAAUAUUUGAUAUGGGUAUUGGUCCCGAUACUGAAGUAAAUUCUAGACCGGGUAUCGUGACAAUGGGCCCAAUACAUAGGAGCCAGUCUAUUCAGUCUAAUUCUAUGCUAUGCGCCAUGAGUGGCAUCCACAAGUAAACAUGCUGAACGGGUGCCCACAUUGCUUUCAAAAUGGAGUAAGCAAAGGGGUCUGCUAUCUUGAACUCUAUCACAAUACCUCAGCCUUGCAAUACCUGCGCAGUAAACGUUCUGAGGGGCAAGGGUAAAACUCCAGAUUACAACAAAAGGUAAUUUAGCGCGGCUUUUCUCUAUCAGAAUUGGAUUGGUAUCAGCCGAUACUAAACUGUAGAUAUCCGUAUCGGUAUCAGAGGUGAAAAAAUCGGAUCGGUGCAUCCCUACAGUGAAUUCUCAACUUACUGCCAUAAAGUAUAAACUUCAUGUGUUGAACAAAUGCCUUUUUAUUGCAUAUUUCUAAACUCUGCAUCGGUCAGACAUGCUUCAGAGCUGAAAUGUGGGACUUUUCAUCUGGGUGAUUUUGUUUUUGACACUUGUGCCAUGAAAACUCUAGGGACCCUUCCUAAAUUCUCCUUUCAGUCUGACACCAUCACCAGCCUGUUAAUAUGAACUAACAAUCAUAUCAUUUACCUAUAAAGACUUCUUUCUCUAGAAAUAGACUUCUGAGGAGGGGUAAUGAAUUAAUCAAGUGAAGUGAUGUUCAUGCAUCCUUCAAUUACCCAAUCAGUUCUGUCAUUCAACUACAAAUACAUAACACAGUAGGCCUGUGUACUUAAAAGCGUUGUGAUUAGUUCCUUUUCAAAGCUUUUACUGAGAUUUGCUUCACUUGUUUAUAAAAAGGUUUAUUAAAGGGGAGAGAGGAAUGGAGCGAAGAAGGAUAUGAAAGUGGUGAAAAAAGGGAGCCUUCAUGUUUUUUUUUUAAUAACAGGAUUCAAUGAAUUCAAAUGCACGUUCAAUAUUUACAAUCUUAGUAUGUGUGAGAUAAUGAGAGGUGGGUGAUGACAAUAAAUCAGCUCCAAUCACCAUGGUAACAAAUGACUCAUUCUCUGUGUACUGCUAGCAUUUACUGUUAUUAUUCUUCUGUAGUGGAGUUUCACUGCAUGGAUUCAUUUGUAAGACUUUAUGAAGGGAAAACAUAACAAAAUAAAAAGUUUUAAUAUAAAGCAAUACAUUCACAAAAAAAUAAACAAGUAAUAUAGAGUUUAUUUGCUCACAGUGAGUCAUCUCUGUCCAAUUUCUGUUGUCUUCAUCUAUUUAAGGAAGUUAUACAUUGUCGUUGUGAGCGUAUUACCAUACCAUUUAAGUGGGACAGCAGUAGAAAGAGGGAUUUUAUCACCACUAACUCUUUUGCUGUGGAUUUCACAGUUUGAAUUGUGCAUAGUUUUUGGAUAUUAUCAAUGAACACUGUCUGUAUCAAUUAAAUAGUUACUAUCUGCAGCAGCAAGAUUUUAAUAUAACCUGCUGUAACCAGUAUUUUGCAUCAAUGUCAUGAUUUAGUAAAAUCUGUCACUCAUUAAUUUACUAUUAUGGGCCAAAAGAAACCAACCAAAAUUGUGUUGUGAAUUAACCUGCCAUCAGCAGAGGAUGUAGUUUAAGUCAGUAGCUAACUGCUUUGACACUGCUGUAAUGAAUAAUAACCUGCAAGUAGGACCCAAGAGUGGUGGUUCCAAGAUUACUGGCAGUUCUGGCUAUAAGGCCCCAAACAUUGGCCGUGCUUGCUUUUAGACUACUAAUAAAGUUGAAAUCUAAGUUUCUCACUUUGGAUUAUCUAUACUAGCAACCUGUUUGAUUUUUUAAGCUUAGUGCCUCAAAGACGUUAAAAAGAAGUGUGCACUACAAGCAAGCAGUAACAUUUGGGCUUGAGAGAUUAAGCUUAUGAGGAUGCUAAUAGUUGCAGUUCUUUGAAUGUCCACUUGAGGCUGGUUGGAAAAACACCAAGAUCUGCAUGGACACCCAUUCAGAAAGCCUUAUUUUACAGGAAAAUGAAACAUAUGAAAUAAAAAAGGGUUCAGCCAAAAUAGCUGAUUUACCAAACUACAUACUCUUUCUCUCAAAAAUUGACUUUUUUUUUUUUUCCCUGAUUUAAGGCAUGGCUGAUUUGACUGACAGGGUCACUGUAUCUGUCAAAGAGGAGACUGAAUGACCACCCCAACUGCACCUCUUUGCUUCCUGCAGGCUGAGCCAGCAUCACCACAGCUCCCAUAUGAAGCUUUAAAAACCUCGGCUUCACAAACAAACAGGUGAGGUCACUUGGACUACAUGUCCAUGUUUUGCACAGUUAUGGUAAAAACACUAAGCAGCUUCUUGCAACACAGCAAAAAAAAGAGUUGAUUUAAACACAAGUCUCGCUCCUGAAAAAGUAAACAGGCAAUCACGUGAGCCUGGUUUUUAGGGGGCACCAUGUGUGGCCGGUCAGAUGUAAGGGAAGCCCAUGCUACCUCAGCUCCCUGGUCACGAAGGGAGGAGGACUAAGACAGCUCAUCUUUAUGUGUGAAAUGCAGUUCACACAAAAGACAUUCUUGCCAGUAAAUUCUCAAUGACUUCAUCUAAAACUCUUCCUUAGGCAGCUGUAAUGUUUGCCCUGAUUAUGACAAGAGACUCAUGCUUUAAGUGUUUCUACUGAUUCAUAUUCUAACAUGUACAUUUUUUUUAAUUAUUAAAAACAAC